rnacentral:lncRNA from 1 species
CUAACCUAACGCCUUCCCUUCCCUUCCCUUUUUUUUCCCCAAAUCGGAAACCCACCUCGCUUGAUCCACCAUUCCACCUCCGGUGACUGGCCUUCCACGACUCCACCUCCGCUCUAACGGUGCUUCCAGUGAAUCUAGCCUUCAACAUCUUCUACCUUUUAAUUUCAAAUGUGAGCUUGCUGUUAACGGUUUCCUAAUUUUUUAACGUCUUCUCCCUUUUUAGCUUUUUGAUGUUGGUUGUGAUUUUGAUUUUUGCUGUUAAUGGUGUUCUGAUUUUGAUUUUGAGACACUAAAUCUUGGGGGAUUUUGUUUGUGUUUACACUUUACAUCUGUGGACUGCACUUACAAGACAUGAAACAAAACCUUGAUUCAACAGAUCAUAUACAUUUUGUUUGUUUGUGUUUACACUUUACAUCUUAUGCAACAUGAAACAAAAUCUUGGGGAGAGUCUUGUCCAUGCUAAGAUGAGACUAAACUCCAUACAAGACAGAACCUGACAAUGUUAGCCAUGUUCGUUGAUCUUUACACAAUUCUCCAUCUCUUGCCUGUCCAAAUACAUAUGGUACCCAAAAUUAAUCCAUGCACCAUUAACAAGCACACACUUUAUUUAUUUAUUUUGCUUUUCAAGACCUGAAGAUUGUUGUUUGCAUAUAUAACUAAAUGAUGAUGAUGAUGAUGAACCAAAGAACAAAACAUCACUCAUUGGUUGUUUACCUUAAGAUAUAUUGACAAUGUGGGUUCUGUCUGAAAUUUCAUCUUACAGGUUCUAGCUUCAACAUCUUCAGCUGCAAAUGAAUAUUUUAACUACUAAAUGUUUUAACUGUAUCUAUAUCCAUAAGAUUAAAAAAACAUAACAUUUUUUUUUUUUGUUUCACUUUAUUAUUUAUAACAUGAAUGAGAAACCAGAUUGAGGCACCAAAAAUAACAAACAAAAAUAUGUUCUUACCAUUAUUAUUAGUAACUCUGCCUAUACUCGAAGAAGAUUUUUUCAGUAAGGGUAAAACAGAGAAAGUGAAUAUUAAAGAACAAAGGGUCUGGAAUAAAAAUAGUAACCAAUUUUCUUCAAUACAAAAUAUACUACUUUUUUCUGGUCACACUUCAUCAGUCAAGCCACUUGUUCAUUUUUAGUCCAAAACUAUCAAUCCAUGGUUAUUAUUUCUCUAAAAGUGAUCAAUUUAAUGAUAUGACAUUUUGGAAUUUUUCCUUGAAAAAUGUUUACCAUAAUGUAGCACACUAAUUCAUUGGAAGCUUAAAAUGCUUAAAAUGUUAUUGAAUUUAGUUGAAGUAUAAAGGUUAUAUAUAUAUACAAGGUUCGAAUUCACACAUGUAUAUACAUGUAUAAAUUAUUGGUUUAAUCAAAGGUAUGUAUAUAUAUGUGUACAUAAGGUUCGAAUAAAUGCAUAGGUAUAUACAUGUAUAAACCUUUGGAUUGGAUUUAUAAUAUGUAUAUUAUACUUGUUUAAGUAAUUUCGAAUAAGCAUGCAAAUAUACUUGUUUACAUGUAUAAUUUCUUGUAUUAAGAUAUGUCAUUAUAUAAGUAUAUGAGGUUAGCAUGUUUCUCUGUUUUGGUUGAUCAAUAACAGGAAGAAAGCAGUGUGUUUUUUUAUGUGCCAUGCUUAGUCGAGUAUUGUAUUCACCUAUCACUUAUCUAGAAAUCAAACUCCAGUUUAUAUCUUCUAGGGGCGUAGAUGCUGACAACUCUUUGCUCAUUCCAUUAUUACUUCACUUCUUGCAGUAGUAACAUUUCCCAUUGUAUUUUGUACAUGUUAUUCAUAAUUUUAAUCUCAUCUUUUUUGUUUUUGCUUUGUUUUAUUGUAGAAACAAUCUAUUGAGGCAAAAAAAUAGCAGGCCCAGUCAGGUUGCUAUCACAAGGCUAGCAUAGUUAAAUAACUAGUUUUGGUAAUUAAUUUUAUUUGGUACUCAAAAUAAGUAAUUUUUAACUACUUUUAUCUUACUUAUUAAAUUGAGUAUGAAAUAUAAUUUGAUAUUUGAUAUAAUUUUAAUAACAAUUAGUUUUAAGUAAGUAAAAAAAAAUGGGUCGGGCUCGGGCCUCAUAUUUUCUCCACGGGUCGGGCCUGGGCAAAAUUUCAAGCCCAUAUUUUGGGCCUAGCCGGGCCCGGACCUAGCAAUCGGGCUAAAAUUUUUUUCUAGGUCCGGCCCGGCCCAUAAGCACCUCUACCAUUGACAGUGUAACGGUAAGCUGACGUGGCACGUUAAAUUAUCAUUUCAAACAAAAAUUUUAGGUUAAAUUAUACAAUUGGUCCCCAUAUUUUUUUCAUUUUGAGCAAUUUAAUUUUUUCUUUUAUGUUCUUUUAACUUUCUUUUUUUCUUUAUUUUCCAUUUUCUUCUGCUUCCCCAUUUGUUUUCCUACCUUCUCCAUUUCUUUUAACAUAUCAGGAAGUCGAAUUGGCAGUGAAGAAAGAAUCAUGGUACGGGUUUAUGGGUUUUGAUUAUAGGCAAUGAUGGCUUUUGACUUCUUACUUCUUUCUUCACUGCCAAUUCGACUUCUUAAUAUGUUAAAAGACAUGGAGAAGGUAGGAAAAUAGAAGGAGAAACAGAAGAUAAUGGAAAAUAAAGAGAGAGUAAAGUUUAAAGAAUAUAAAAGAAAAAAAUUAAAUUGCCCAAAACAAAAAAAAAUAUGGGGAUCGGUUGUAUAAUUUAACCUAAAAUUUUUGUUUGAAAUGAUGAUUUAACGUGCCAUGUCAGCUUACCGUUACACCGUUAACGGCAAUUAACGGCUCAGUGAUUAAAAUGUUACAACAGUAUAACGUAAGUGACUAAAACGUAAUAUUUUAAACAUAAGUGAUUAAAACGUAAUAUUUUAAACAUAAGUGACCAAAAUGUAACUUAAAGUAAACAAAAGUGACCAUAUGUGUAGUUUAUCUUUAAUGAAAUUGUUCAUAAAAAACAAAAAAAAAGUUUUUUUUGUUAUAAAGUUCGUCCACUAAAAGUAGAAUGAUCGAACUCCUUAUUAAUACCAUUAAGAAAGCUACUUAUAUCAAGUUUUAGUUCAAUCACCUUGUCAUAUUUGUGUUAUCUCAUAGAAUAUUUGUGAUCCUAAGUUAAAUCAUAUUUUUAAUCGUUGUAUCUUAGACAGUGAAAAUUAUCAUUACAUUUGCCAAGUAAAGAUAAAAUCAUUUUUAAAACAAAAAAAAAAUGAUAAAAUCAUGUGUCUCAUACAAAUGUCCCAUGAUCAUGUUCUAUUUUUACAAUUCAUACAAUGCUAAUGAGAUAUAUCUUUAUUCUUUUUAUCGAGCUAUGAUUCUAUUAUUAUGAAUGAAAUCAUGUCAUGAAUAAUAAGUUAUAUACCCAACAUAUCAACUUUUAGCCUACUAGACUGAGAGUAAAGAUUUUCAAUAUAAUAAAGUAUAUGAGUUAUACAUGCAUGGUCAUUUACUUGCUCAGAAUUUAGGAAAGGCACGAGUGAAUUAAUUUAUAAAUAAAUCUAAGACUAAUCCAACUUGGAUCAUAUUUAUCGUAUUAUCAAUUUAAACAAUCACAUCUAUGUCUUUAUUUCAUGGGAGUCAAUCUAGCUCCAAUAGCUAAGAUGACCUAAUAGGCGUAAAACCAUAAGGUGCCCAAAAUCCCGGGUACGCCAAAAAAGUACCGGGCAAUGACAUCGCCAUCGAUUGCUGCAUGGGCGUUUGCAUUGGUGGCGAUGGGUACGCCGACAUCUUUCUCGACACAGGGUUCGACAUCGACUUCUUCUUAGGGGUGUAGUAUGUGGGGGAUGUCGGUGAAGCGAAAUAUGUACUUAUAGGAACAGAAAAACCGGCCAUGUGCAGCGGUGGCCCACAGUGCGGUGGUGCUUGUGAAUAAAACACAAGAUUACUUAAUUGAAUGAGAAUACGUGGACCGAAGUGACCCGAAUAUUGUGCAGCCACAGGCAGCGCAUCUUCUGCCGAAACAGAUGACGAACCCAUCGUGUGGUCGCGUCCCCUCCUAGUAUGUUGUGACGAUCCUUGUGACCUCUUCGCCCAAAUUUGUCGACUCCUCCCCUCUGGUGAUAGCAUAUGUGACUUAACGACAAUUCUAAACCAUGCCAAGUAAUCAUCAACUAUCGUUGUGUCCGCUAAGAAAAAUUGUUCACAAACGGUUAUAGAUUGCAUCCUACAAUCCCAUGCCACGAUGUGCUCCUCGUACCGCUUCAACCAGUCGAUGUUGUUCUUCCCUCACAUGUCCACCUUGUGCAACUCCUUCAGGUCUUGUGAUGGCGGCGAAAUUCGUUGCCUCUACCUGAACUGCUGCAACAUCUGCUCUGUUUCAUGCAUUUCCACCAUCAUGUACACUAUCAACAACACCUUCACGUCCCACAUCUGCCGAUUGCGCAACACUUCCGGCGAGAUGUAGAAUAUGACAUCAGUGUCAGCGUACGACAUCCAUUCAAAUUGAAAAGUAAAAUUAUAAAUAUCAUUAUUUAUGAAUGUUUUUUACAAAUCAUUACGUAAUUAAUAUAGGUUCAAAAGAAUAGGUAACUAACUUCGGCUUCCGAGCGUUGAUCUAAAAAUAGCCUAAUAUCUUCUAAAUCUUCGUGUAGUCCCACGUAGCUCGACUUAUGGUUCCACCUGUACAAACGAUAUAUUAGUCCAAACAUAUAAUAAUAAAUGUUAUUGUACAAACCACGUAUUUGUUAAUAAAUAAUGUUUACCUCGUCACCAACGGGAACAUAUAUGGGUCGAUCACUUUGGGACGUAGAAAUGGUAGUCCCCACCAAGCCCACGAUUACAAUAAGAGUAGACAACCACCGAUCGACGUCGCACUUGGUAGCGUGGCUAGACAUAUCUCCCGAUUCAACAUGGACAAUACGGCAGAUCCCCAACUUAGUUUCCCGCACUCAUUAAAGUCCACUAGAUGUAGUAGUCACCUUACAUGCACCAAAUUUUAAAAUUUGUCGGGCAUUAAAAUGCACCCGAUUAACGUCAUGAUGUAUGCUCGAGCGUAUUGUUGUAUCACCUCAUCUAUUCAGUCUUCAGGGUCCUUAGGGAGCUCGUUGAAAUUAUCUUUCAACCAAUUCAUCGAUAUCCAACUACCUUUGAACUUGUCUAGAACCUUCCCCGACAGUGAUUGGCAGAGGUUCACUUUGCUUGGAACGAUCGCAGAUCUCGUGAUGACUGAUCUAUCCACUGUUAGGCUAAGUUGCAGCGCUACGUCUUCGAGUGUGAUUGUACACUCACCGCAUGGAAGAUGGAAAGUAUGUGUUUCGGGCCUUCAUCUUUCCACCAAUGCACUGAUUAGUUGCAAAUCGAGUUUAUAGCCCUGAACAUACGAGACGCAUGUAAGAAUCCAACUACUUGCAAGUGUUCGCGAAUUUUAGGGGUCACAGGCUUUCCCAUAUUAUGGAUGAAACCCCCCAAAACACGAUUGUCCGCCUAUUUACACAAUAAAAAGUAUAAUUAUAAUAAAAAAUUAAAUUUAAUAUUAUUGAAAUUAACGAAAUUUAAAUUUCGGUCUUACCAUUGCUAAUUGGGCGGCGGAAAUAUACUUGUCGUCGAAGCGGAUUAGGGAGGCGGUCAUUCAUGAGAAAUCAAUUUAAAUGAAUAAAAACGAGAUAAUUAAAAAUAAAAAUAUCGAAAAAUAUUUAAAACAAGAGGGUUGAGAGGCUUGGGAGGGUUUGAGAGAAUUGAGAGAGUUGAGUGAAUGAUGUGAAUGAAAAAAAUAUUAUAGGGUAAAAAAAGUUACCGUUAGGUGUAUUUAUUUUUUUUACUAUCGGCGGCAAUGUUCAAAAAGCGGUUGGAAUCUGACCAUUAGCUGGAAAGCGCGUCUAGUUGGAUGAGCUUUCUAGUUAAAUCGACCUAAAUCCUUAAUUGAUUUUAAAACCGGCGUAAAACCCUAAUUAAAAAAUUUUGACAUACAUGCCUUAUUUUGCCAAAUCCACCACCAUGUUCACAGUAUUGUCAUCCUUUAAUUCUUCGAGAUGGACUUUCUUGGUGAUUCUAUCUUCAUUAGAAUCUUCUUCUCUACCAUCUCGGUCGUCGGACGAGAUCACGAUUGUAUUCAUUGAAACAUUUUUAACAUAUUCAACCCACAAUAUAGUUUUACUUUAUAUAAUUAAUGCAAAGUAACAUUAUUCAAAAUAAUAAGUAAUUAACAUAAUUAACUCUAAUAUUAAAUAAGUGGUAAUUAAUUUACUUAAAAUUCUAUCCAAACUCUAUUUUACAUCAAUAAAAUUAACAAAAUUUUUUAAAAAAAUAGCACAACUUUAUUUAUGUCAAAAUUUUUAACUAAUAAUAGUAAAUUUUAAUUUUAAUUUUAAUUUAUCAUAACUUUUUUUCCUUAUAUUUUAUACUUAAAGUUUUAUUCAAUAAUUAAUUAUUAUAAUUAUAAUUUAAUUAUUUUAAAUAUUUAAUUAUUAGAACUUCUAUUAAAUUAUAAUUUUUUAAAUAUAUAAUUAUUUCAAUUUCAAUUUUAUUUAAACUUUUUUAACUAAUAAUUCUAAAUUAUAUAUUACAAAUUUAGUAAUAUGAAAAAAUAAAAAAUAUUCUUAAUUUUUUUUUCAAACUUGUGUUGUUAUAUGUAUAUAUAUACACAUUAUAGAUUGCGAUAUUAUUCCCAUUUUUCAAAAGUUCACCUUUUCUCUCUUCUUUCUCUUCUAUCCUACCCUUUUUCGGCGAGCAUCCGCUGCCGGAGAACCCAAUGUUCUCCGGUUUUCAACGGCGGAGCACGGUGGUUGGUAAAAAAAUUUCAAAUAUUUUUUCCUUUUUUUAGAAAAUUGAAAAGAAACAGAUAUCUUUCUUUCUUAAAAAAAAAAACCAGCUUCGACACUUAAAAACAAAAUCAAUCUUUUUUCAUUAUUAUUUUUUGGGUUCUCCAGAUCUAGGGAUAUGGUGGCUUCCUCACGGCCCCAAAAAAAUCGAUAUGCAAGCCUUCAAGAAACACAAUAGCACUUGAAAUAUGCUUUUGGUGUUUUGGGAUCUUUGUGUGUGUAACUGAUUAGUAUUUUGAUGACAAUGGUCUCUGUUUUGGUUGAUUUUUCUCCGAUCGGUUCUUUUUGUGUGUGUGAAUGUGCAGGUCUUUAUAAUGCUCAAAAGUUUUUACCAAGACAUUGUUUUACAAUUUCGAUUCUGUCUUGGGAUUCAAGGUUUUGCAUAAACAUAUUUUUCUUGUGCAUCAAACAUCAAAGGUUUUGUGUUCGUGUUCUUGAUCUGAAAGAAACUCGAAAAUUUCACACUAUGAUUUUUGUUAAAAGUUUUGGGAUUUUAAUAUUUUUCUGUAUUUUUUUUUUGCUUCUUUUUGGAAAAUAAAAUAAAAUAAAAUAUAUAAUAUAUAUGACAUCAUAGGGAUAAUAAUAGUAAUAAGAAUAUGUGGUAUUAAUUUCACUUAAAUGCAUUCAAUGUGCUCCUUGACUUUCCUUAACCAUGUACGGUGGCUGUAGAUUUUUCAAAACUCUAACUUCAAUUUUCAUUAUAGAGGUGUGAAAGUUAAUUAUAAAUGUAUUUAAAACAAAAUUAUAAAUUACAAAUUUGCAAUCAAUAAUUCAAUAUUCAUUAACAAAUACUUGAAUGACAAUUACACAUUUGCAAGGGUAAUUAAAGGAAAAUUUAUUAGAUAUCCCUCUAAUAAACAAUUUUUACGUAUCAUCCCUUCAGGUAAGCAUUUUUUACGUGUCAACUCUUUAUCUCUUUCCCGCAUCCUUUUCUCCAUCAAUCAUGUUGCAAGAGAGUAAAUGGAGUUUCCUUCUUAUUGGAGACAUUUAGGAACACAUUUAGCAAUCACCUAUUUAAGAGUUUACGUCUACGAGUUGGCCAUGAAUAAUAAUAAAUUACGUCUAAACCUGUACAAAACAAAACCAAUACAUGGUCAACUCUAUAAUAAAUACUAACAUAAAAUUUGUAAAAGAUCUCAACUCCACCCAUUUUACUUGCAAAUAAUAACGGGUGCUAUAACACUACUCCACCUGUAUAUGUAUUUGAAUUUUGAACCCACUGUUGAGUUUCAAGUUUUGCAGUUAAUUGGAUCUGCUAUUACCCCCCCCCCCUUCUGGACCCGAUUCCCGAAACUUCGGUUCCUCAAUGAUUUCCUCCCAAAAUCAUUCCAACCACUAGUAGCCAUUGAAUCACCAUGUAAAGGGAAAUAAGGAGGAGAUGAGGCUCCUUUCAGUACCCUUUUAGUGGAGAAUUCCUGGGUAAUUAACUGUUCAGCUGAGGAUGGAUUUCCCAAGGGUUCACCGGAGGAGGAUGCAGGAGGUGCUUGUGCUAGACCCUCUUCCAUUUCCAUAUUACUACCCACCACAUCCUCUUCUGGAGCUAUCUUCCAAUAAGAUGCGUAUGCAGCGACACUAAAGAAAGCCAAUGAACCUAAGCUUAUCAUCGCCAGCAUCAGAAAAUAUCUGUCCAGAUGACUUGUGCUACUUUCGUCACCAAACCACCCUCUGAAAGCAAAUAUGGUUAAUAUACUAAGAAAUUUCCCCAUUCCCAUCACGAUUUCUUUGAACAGUAACUCAUAAACUUUCAUGGAUCCCGGGACGAGGUUAUAGAAACAACCCUCAAUCCCUGCCUCAACAAGUCCGCUCAUGAUUCCUAACAGUAAAUACUGAGGAGUCAACCACAAGAUACUCAUCGGAAUCUUCUCAACUUCGCUUUUGGGGAUCUCAUAUUCUUUGAUUAACUUCAAUCUGCGAACCUCCACCUUCCAAGCUGUUAUGCAACACAAAAACGAAACAAGCAUUCCGAGUGUAAUUCUCACGACAAAAGCACGCUUUCGUUGGUUUUUGUUACACAACUUUGAGGUUACAAAAUCAACCAACCCCUUAGUUACGAAGGUUGUUAAGGAACUGAGGACAGAGAAAUAAUUUAGAGGAAUUCUGAAACCGUUGCCGAUUCCAUUUUCCAGAUAGUCACUUUGUUCGAGGAAGAAUGUGGUGCCGGCUGCCUCUACCAGGCAAUAGACGAGGAGUGUUAUCCAGAAGGGGACUAAUCUUCUCCAGCCGUUCAUGAUCUGUAAUGUAAUUUUUCUUUCGGGUGGUUCUUUGCUGUAACACCUGAUGCCUUGCACAAAGAACAAGGAAGCCGUUCCAGUUAUUAUUGAUGAAAUCAGGAUAGGUUUCUUCAAUGAUAGGCGGCUUGAGAUUGAAACUAUAGUAAAAAUGAGGACACCAAGAAACCAAGAAGUACACCACCAAAACUGGUGUCGAGCCUCGGCCCUUUCCCGGUUCUGAUACUCUGCCUCUGCCACUUGGGAGUUCUGGUUCCGACCAAACUGAUCUUUGAGAAAUGCUUUCAGAGUUGGACUUAGUCCACCCUUCCCCAGGGUUACAAGUAGCAGUGCCACGUAAAAUAUUCUACUGUCUUUAUACUCAAAACAUAAUAUCACUAAUCCCUGUAAUUAUUAAGAGUAUCGAAUUAGUUCCUUUAUACUAUCUUAUGACAGCUGAAAAGCUAGCUUUCUAGUGAUGAAUAAACGUCCCCACUCACAGUGAUGAAAGCUGCAGUGGUGUAACCAACGACCUUGAAUCGACCCAAACGUUCGUCUGCUACAUAUGCGACGAUAGCUGCAACGAGUAGUGAUGCGCCUUCUUGGGCAUUGACAAUGGCGGCAGCUAUUGGGAGACGGUAGCUUUUCCAAUUGCUUGUGAUGUAAGUUAUCAGCACGAAAAAAAAUGCAUGCUCUACAAACGCAUGACUGAAAACUAAACCUGCAUUUCGUGUAUGAAACUUAUCAACUCAUUUUAGCAAAUGAACUAAAACGGCUAAAAUUACCUGAGAUGAAUAAAGCAGCUUUGGAGAAACAAAUAUAAUAAGACGCCCAGUUGGAUACUUCUUGCCUCAUCUCCAACAACAUUUUAGCUACUGAAUCUGAAUUUUUGCAAGUGUUUAUAAUCAUUUAACUUGUAUUAUUAUAUUUAUAGUAACUCCUACCGUGGAAAAAUAUUACUACCGGCCGCAAUGAACCAACCGAGAAUCUACAUUGUAAGUGCGUGCCUGUGAACGGUGGAGCCCGGUUUUUAGAAUAACAUUAUUUGCGUAACGUGUACGCAACCAUAUUAAAUACAUCCACUCUUUUAGGGUUGUACAGGGCCGGACUGGGUAGGCCUGUUUUCUGGAUCUGGUCCGGUUCAAAAAUGAGAUUAAAAUUUUAUUUUAAUUCGACUCCAAUAAAAAUAUUAAAACUCGAGCUUUGUAUUAAAAUUUUUAUAUUAUAUUUUUACAUAAAAAUAAAUUUAAAAAUAUAAUAUAUUAAAUAUACUAAAAAAUUAAAAUAAAUAUUUUCAAACAAAUAAUUUUUAAAAAUUUAAAUAACUCUAAAUAAUUGUAACUUAAUAUGCAAAUAUAUCUAAAAUAGUAACAAAAUUAAUAAUAAAAUAAUAAAUAUAUAAUAUUCAAAUAAUAAUAAAAUAAUAGCAAUAUAAUAAUAAAAUGAUAACAAAGCAAUGAAAAAAAAGUUAAAAAAAAAGCAGUAAUAUAUAUUUUUUUUUGCAAAUUUGGGUUAGAUUAGGCCAGGCCCAAAAAGCUUACUCGAGGCUUGACCUAUUUAGAAAAUGGGCUUCAUUUUUAUCAAAACUUAUUUUUUGGGUCUAUAUUUUUGUCUAAACCCUCCCACUUUUCGAGUGACUCGGCUCAUAAACAACUCUACCCUCUUUAAACAAAAAUAUUGUUUUCGAACAAAAAACAAUUAUAUUUCGUCUCAUAAUAACAAUAUACAACAAUUGUAUUCAUUUUCCUCCGUCAAUUGUAUUCGGUAUUUUAAUUAAAAUUUAUAAUUUUAAAUGGGUGAGAAUUGGGUUUUUUACGAAAAUAAACCAAAAAAAUAAAAAAAUACCAAAAUAGUAUAAUUUUUUAUUUACGAAAAUGGUAUAAAUUUUUUAAAAAACAUAAAAGUAAAAAAAACUGGGGAUUGAAGUGACAGGACCCUAGUGGAGGGUAGACCUGUCCAUGGGCCGGGCCGGGCCCGAAAAAAAUUUUUUGCCCACCUCCUAGGCCCGGGCCUGGCCUAGCCUGAAAUAUGGGCCUGAAAUUUUGCCCAGGCCCGUCCUGGCCCAUUUUUUAAUAAAUAUUUAAAAUUUAUUUUAAAAAUAAAAAAAAUUAUUUUAAAAGUAUUUUUAAAAUAAAAAAAUAAAAAAUAUAUUUAUUAUAUUCGGGCCAGGCCCGGGCCAAAAAAGUGGUGCCCGAUGCCCGGCCCGUUUUUUAAAUAGACCUCGUUUUUUUGCCCAAGCCCAUAUUCCAGGCCUAUAUUUUUACCUGAACCCUCCCAUAUUUCGGGCGGGCCGUCGGGUCGGGCCGGGCCGCCCGGCCCAUGAACAGGUCUUUUGGAGGGCCUGCCACAGGAGUCACCAGCCUUUAUAUUGGGGGGACCAUUCGGCUGGAGGAAAAGAAAGAAAAAGAAAGAAAAGGAAAGGAGAAGAGGGAGGGAAGGAAAAAGAAAUAAAAAAAAAUAAGCAAAUGUUUUUUUUUGUAUUAUUUGUGUAAAAAAAUUGUGUUAUGUACAUUGUAUGUGUUUUAUUAUUUUAUUUAGCAUAUUUUUUUAUGAAAUUUAUUUAGCAUGAAAAAACUCAUGUUAUGUACAUUCUAUGUUGAUUAGAUAUUUAAGUAAUGAAAUUUAUUUAGCAUGUUGUAAUGAGUUUUUUUACAAAAUAGAAUUAAAAAUAAAAUAAUAAUAAAAAUAUAUUUAAGAAAACAUAAAAUACGAAAAAAAAACGGAAGUACUAUAUUUACUGAAAGUAAUAAAAUCUGAAAAUAAAAAAAAUACGAACAAUUUAUUUAAAAUAAAGGUUUUUUACUAAAUUUAUAUAAAAAACACACUAAAUUAAUACAUUUCAAACAUAAUGUACUUAAAGAAUGUAAAAUAAUAAAAUAUGAGAAUAAUAUAUUUUUUGAAAGUGAUAAAAUCUGGAAAAAAAAUACGAACAAAUAGCCGAAAUAAUAUUUUUUACUAAAUUAAUACAUUUCAAAGAUAAUCUACUAAAAUAAUGUAAAAUAAUAAAAUACGAAAAUAAUAUAUUUUUAUUGAAAGUAAUAAAAUCUAGGGAAAAAAUACGAAUAAAGGGCCGAAAUAAGGGUUUUUUUAAAAUUUUAUUUAAAAAACACAGUAAAUUAAUACAUUUUAAACAUAAUGUACUAAAAUAAUGUAAAAUAAUAAAAUACGAAAAUAAUAUGUUUUUAUUGAAAGUAAUAAAUAUCGGGAAAAAAAUACGAACAAAUGGCCGAAAUAAGGGUUUUUUAUAAAUUUAUUUAAAAAACAAACUAAAUUAAUAUAUUUCAAAUAUAAUGUACUAAAAUAAUGUAAAAUAAUAAAAUUAAAAAAUAGUAUAUUUUUUAAAGGUAAUAAAAUCUGGGAAAAAAUACGAAUAAAGGGCCGAAAUAAGGGUUUUUUACUAAAUUUGUUUUGAAGUUGCAGGCAUCGCAAUGGCUCGAUUGAUUAACGACGAUCCUCACAUAUCUGAUGCGGCUAAUAAUAUGGUAAUAUAUUAUUAUUUGUUAAUCACUGGUUCUAUUAAAAAAGGAUAUACGUAAUAUAUAGAAAUAAAUCUUGUUAUCCUAAUAUUUAUUUUCUGUAAUUUAACACUAUCAGGGCUCGUACCGCGUAUUAAGGGUCGGGUGAAUGGUAUAGGAUAUACGUAAUAUAUAAAAAUAAAUCACGGGUUUCUUGCACUUUUUUGUACAUUACAAAGUUUAUACUUUUUGUAUAAAUUUAAUUAUUCUAAUUUUAUGUAUGCUUACUUACUAUGGAAUUGGUCAUUCACAUACCAGCAUAAAUUUAAUUAUUAUAAAUUUAAUUAUAAUUACACAUAACAAUUUUACAGCAUAAGCUCAAUUCCGACCCGAUCUUGACGAUUGUCUAACAUGAUAGCUUGGUCAUUCACAUACCUGCAUAAAUUUAAUUAUUAUAAAUUUAAUUAUAAUUACACAUAACAAUUUUACAGCAUAAGCUCAAUUCUGACCCGAUCUUAACGAUUGUCCAACAUGAUAGUUUCACUGAGAGCAUUUAUUCUGAUUAUAACCACUUAACCUACAUAAUCCAUAACGCUUACCAUCGGAUUUCUCCCUAAUGUCUAUUUCAUUCUGGAUUAUGGAUGAUUGUGGACGACCUCUUGGAUUCCUGUGUAGCCCUCUGUCUGGAACAAACUCGAAAGUCGUCGGAGGCACCUCCCACGUAGACAGGUCAGGCAGGACGGGGAACUCAUUUUCCCAGACACGCAAUGUGUGCUCGAGCGUGUACACAUCAUCGACAAAUUGUUCAACAUUAAGGUUCACUUUAGUACACGCUGCCACGACAUGCGCACAUGGAUAAUGAAGUGUUUCGAACCUCCUGCAGUCGCGCCGUCUGUUCUAGAGAUCAACUCCAUAAGACCUAGGUGGUAUACCGGGUCGACGACUGAUGGUCUCAGUAACUCGAAACGUGUCCAGGCGUCGUGAAUAUAUUUCUACAUUCAUCGACCUCACCAUUCGACUGUUUGCAACCAUUGCAUCCCUGACAUCUUCGACAAACACGUGUCCUUCCUCGAUCUGGUCGACUUGUUGCUGACCCAUUCUUGGCAUAAAGGUAGCCAACCUGUAGAAUAUAGCCGAGAAGACAGAUGCAAUCGGAAGAUGUCAUGUUUUCAACAACACAGCGUUGACCCCCUCCACUAAGUUUGUGGCCAUUUGACCAUAACGAAAGCCCUCGUCAAAACUUUGAGCCCAUUGUCACGGUUCUAUUAUACCCAACCAUUGUCGGAAAGAUGUGUUUUUUUGACCCUCUAUGUCACUCUCAAGUCGAAUCAUUCUUUGGCGGAAAAUAUGUAGCUCUAACUCGUACGCUAUAUACGUAUUAAGAAAAGAUAAGUUUCAGUAACUCGAUAACAUAAAACAUUACAACUUAUAUUGAAAAAAAAAAGGUUAUCAUUUACCCAUUGCCACUACUUGUCUCUUCCAGUCUGCAUUCUUAUAAUCUUUAUGGAAGUUAGUCGCAAUGUGACGGAUGCAGUAAACGGAUCUUCAUGGCACAUCAGAACGCCUAAUUGCUGCAAUUAAACAUUUCCCUCAAUCGGAGAUGAUGCAAAUAUUAUCGUUGCUAAUAACAUACCUCCGCAGGUUGGUAAGAAAGAAUUCCCAAGAUUCUAAGUUCUCCUUAUCUACGAUGGCAAAUGCUAUCGGGAGCACGUUUCUAUUGCCGUCUUGAGCAACCGCAAGAAGUAGGAUCUGUGUAUAUUUUCCAUAUAGCCAGGUCCCAUCCACUUGCACAAAUGGCUUGCAGUAGGGAAAUGCUCGCACACAUGGAUCAAACGUCCAGAACAUCCGAUGAAAAAUUCUUUUUCCCGGCUGUAAUUGGUCAUCCGAGUCGUAACAAGGUCUUGUCUGUAACUCAAUCACAGUCCCCGGUACGUACUCCCGCAUAGCAGUUAUCCAUCAUUGUAGCUUGUUAUACAACAAAUCGUAAUCCCCAUACAAUUUCUCCAUUGUCAUCUGUUUAGCUAUCCACGCCUUUCGAUAUGAUACUCGAUACUAGAAUCAUUCUUACAUUUUGACAAUCAGUACCGAAACUUUAAUGGUCGGCAUGUCCUUCACCAUUAACAUGAUACACGUACAGAUAGUUUUCGAAUCAAGUUUUCGAUGAUCUUCUGUCAUACGUGUUGAUGUGCAUGUAUAAGGCCCAACAAAUUUUCGUAUCUCCCACAUCUGAGAAUUUUGAAUGAAUACAGCUCGUACCCGACAAUUACAGCCUUCCGUUGCCUUCCAACACUCCCCAAUAUAUAUUGUCGGUUUAGACACUGCGACUUUAUAAUCCAUUGACAUGUUCAUGCUAUACCGUUUAAUAGCACGUACGCACCCUUCUUUACUUUUGAAUCUCUGGCCUACGAAUAACUCCUCAUUAUCAGAAUUUACGGCCAGCCGGUGAGCAGAAAUUAUUUCAGGGUACUCUGGGAACUCAGCUACAUGCGCUGCGUCGGGGUCUAUGAGCGACAUAUGUGGCCCAAGAUUACUAUGUAUCAAAAUACGUCGCAUCUGGUUCCCGACCGAAGAAGCGUUAAUAUUUUCUUCGUUAUUCACAUCUUCAUCGUCAAUAUCAUCAGGUACAUCGUCCACAUCGGGAUCACUGUCACUAUUGACCUCUUCAUCACAAUGAUCGCUACCAUCGUAACCAUCAUCACCAACCACAUUAAUAUCGGGUGUAAUAUUCAAAUCGAUACCAAUCCCACCUAUAGUCAAUUCACUAUCAACGUACAAUAUUGGAGCCAUUAUGCACGGUUCUUGAGCUCCGUGUUCUUCACCAUAUGCAUUGACAUCUUCAUUUUGCUCCAUACCGGCUAACUCAGCAAAUAAGUGAAUCGGUGCAUUUUUGUCACUCUCAUUCCCACAGUAAAGAGCGACCAUUGUCUCCACGUCUUCGUCGUUUACAAGUUCCAUUUCGGUGAAUUUGAUCGGAUUUGUCGAAACUGGAAACUUGUAGAAAAAUUUUUGAUAUACUUCUCCCACAACGUCUAACAAUUUUUGCAUUAAUCAUUCCCUUCAUAUCAUCCAACGAGACAUUUCUAUUAGAUCUCAUUGCUAUUUGUUGCCGACAUUCAAAUAUACAUCCAACAGUUGUUGUCAAGAUGAUUCCAUCGAUAUAAACGCAUACAAAAAACUUAUCAUCCAUCUUCAAUAUUCAAUCUGUUAAAAAAUAAAAAAAAUUCAAAAAAAAUUUCGAACAGUAAAUAAAUUACUUGAAUAAAAAAACUAAUGUUUCAAUAUGCAAUUUUUUCAUUCUUAAGCUCAUACUAUUUCAGUUAUCAUUUUGUACAUGAACAACGUUUAACCACUAGUCGUAAUUACUAACACAAUAAUAAUAAUAGUUUUUUACUCAAAAUAAUACUAACUAACAAUAAUAAUUAGGAUUUUACUAAAAAUAAUAACUAACAAUAAUAUAAUGUAAAAACUAACAAUCAUACUAACUAAAAUAAUAAUUAGGGUUUUUACUAAUCCUAAUAACUAACCAUAAUAAUAAUAUUAGUUUUUUACUAACAAUAAUACUAAGUAACAAUAAUUAUUAAUAACUAAACCCUAAAAAAUAACAAUAAUAAUACUAACUAAAAUAAUAAUUUGAGUUUUUAUUAAUCUUCAUAACUAACCAUAAUAACUAAACUAACAACAAAAAACAAUAAAAAUUAUACAAAAAAACAUAAUAACAAGAUAAUCCAUUAUUUUUUAGAAAAAUGCCUUAUUUUUUUAUUUUUUUCUUCUCUUUCUUUCUCCUUCCUCUAUUCUCUUUCUCUCUUUUUCUUUUCUUUUUCCGGCACCACCUUCUUCUUCUUCUUCUCCUUCAGCUGGACUGAAAUGGGCUUAUUAUACUAGAAGUGGUGCCGCCUGUGGCAGGCCCAUCAUCUAGACUUCAGCUUUUUUUAACUAUUUUAUUUUUUUGUUUUUUGUACCAUUUUCGUAAAUAAAAAAAAUUAUACUAUUUUGAUAUUUUUAAAAUUUUUUUGUAUUAUUUUAGUAAAAAACCCGGUGAGAAUCUCUAUUAGAUUAAUCUAAAGUAUUAUAUAUAUUAGUAUUUAUUAAAUAGUUAAAAAAAUUAACAUAAAAUAUAUAAUUAAAAAUUUAACUUAUGAUUAAUUUGAUAUACAUAAUUUAUAAGAAUGAAACAUGAUAAUUAAAUUAUUAAAAUAUUAAUCUUACAAAAAUAAAAAAAUUAUGUAUGAAUAGAUCUUUCUCCUUUUAAAUAUAAUAUGGACAUGCUUAAUAAUAUAAAAUAAUUUGGAAGUUAAAUGCAACUUACUUAUGAUAAAUAUAGGUUUAUAAUUUUUAUUUAUUUAUACAAAACUAAAGAAAUACAAAAUUUAUCAAACAAGUAAAUUAAACGUUGAGAAUAAAACUAUUUUACCUCUUUAAAUAAAUAAAUCAACGUAUAACAAUUAUUUAACCCUAAAAAUUGAUUGCUAAUAUAUGGGGACAUUGAAAUGAAGUAGACGAGUCAAAUCCGACAUUUGUACAUAAGAAAACAAGUGAAAAUAAAACGAAAAUUUGUCAAUUCAGAUUGGUAGUUGGUACAAUGUCGGCAAAUUUAUUUCUAUUUUUCUCUGAGACAUUCACUUCAAGUCCUGCUGUCCCGGUUGGCGUGGCGGUCACCAUUUAUUCUUAGUAUAGAGAUCCUAACAAAUAUGUAAUUAGUAUGAAGUAAAUAUUCUAAUUAUUGAGUCAAUGUACUAUAGACAAAGGAAACAAAGAGUUAAAAUAACUUUUAUAUAUUUGUUUGUAUUUUAAUUGAUUAUUUUUAGGGUUAGAGUUGAAUUAUAAAUUUUGGUCAGAGUUAAAAUGUAUUUUUAUUAUUGUAUUAAUUAAUGUUUUUAAAAGAUUAUCCCUCUCAUAAGACUCCUAAUCAUGAUAUCAAAUUAACUAAACAUAAAUUUAAUUUAACAAUACUCGAAGAUUUAAACUUCUAAAACAUUUGAACUCGGAUGCGUGAAACUCUACACCCAAAUUUUAAUUAUCAAUAUUACUUAAACAUUUUUAUAUUUUUUGAAGAUACACUUUUACUAUUUCAUCAAUAAUUGUUAUCUUUUUAUAAAAAUAUUGCUUACUUUUUUAUAUUAUUCUUAUUCUUUUCACCCAUAGUCAUAAUACUCAUUUAUUUUAUGUAUUGUUCAUAUUUUAAUUUUUCAUUUUGUCUAAUUGAUAUUGUUAAAAUAAUUUACAAUAUGCCACAUAUUAUAAUUAUUUUUUAUCAUAAUAAUAUUUAAAGUAUAUUUAAAUAAAUUUGGCAUGUAAAAUUUGUUGUAGGCAGGGUUGAACCCUUUCAUAUAUUUGCAUUAUUUUAUGUUAUUUAUUUCAUUGUUUUGGAUUAGUGUUAAAUAUACUCUCUUUUUUUAAAUUUCAUUAAAAAUGUAUUUUUUCUUGUUUAAAAAAGAACAGUACAGGCUAUUACAUAGCAAUUAGUUUAAUAGUAAAUAAUCCGUUGAGGUCUUUAUGUGGUGCAUUUAGAGCAAAAUCAAGAGGUUGAGACCAACAAUGAACGCUAAUGCCCCAUUCUUUCUGCAGCCUUUGCUAAGCAAUUAACUAGUCUAUUUUCAUAUAUUUGUAUUUUUUAAAAUGUUUUUUAAUAUUUUACUAUACCCCUAUUGGACACUUAUCAACCCCUUUACUCAAUUUGUGGAGUCUAAAAACUCUACUAACAGUGUACCAAAUAAUUUUCCGUAUUGUUUUAUGUUACUUAUCGUGCUAUAUGGUAUGAUUAGAAUUCAUGUUUGUAUAGUAUAAAUAGUAUAACUCUUGGCCUAGUGGUAAGAGCAUUUGUAUUGUGGCAUAAGAACUUGGGUUCAAUCCUUAACAACACCACCUCUACCCCUAACUAUCAAAAGAAAAUAAUAAUAACUUCUUAGGUUCUAAUCUUAUUGUGUUAAAUUAUUGAUUUUGUAUAAGAAUAUAAAAGGACAAAAAUACCCACAUAAUAAUGCAACUUUGUAUAAAAGCACUUUCUUUAGUCAUUUUUUUUAUCCAAAAUGACAACUUAAUUAUGAACUUAAAUAAUAGUUGUAAUAAGGCCCAAUCGGCCUGGGCCCACGUAAUAAGCCAAAACAAAAAAAUGAACAGGCCUACAUUUUGCAAGCCCAACAAAGCAGCCCAAACCCAAAGAUCAACACAGCAAAACACAAAAAACAAAACCCUAGCCGCAUCUACCUCAGCGCCGCAACAGCAUCCACGCGACGCCCAAUGCCCGAUCGCCGCAGACCAAAAUGAUUUUUGAGGUGGACCGGUCACACCUUAAUAAAGGAUCGAUGGCGACUCCAGUUUUAUUUUUAAAAAGUCGACAACUAAAAUUUUUGUUUUCAAAAAACGGUUUCGACAAUAGUAUUAAAAUAUAAAAUUAUUAUUAUAAUUGUCGAUUGAGUCUUAGCUCGGUUAGCAUUAGCAUUGUUGCUAGUGCAGAAGUUCGUGGAUUUGAAUGUUCUGAAGCGCGUUUAUCCCCCUAUUUAAAAGUUGGGAUGAGUUACGAGAAUUUAAACUAAAACCAUUAAUGUCACUGUUCCUAAACAAAUUGUGACUAAACUUUUGUGCUCCAUUAUCUGUAGAACCCUGACUACAUUGUAUUCUUGUUGUUGCUAGUCCCUCAAGCUUCACUACAUUGGGGUGAUCCAACUUCUGUAAUAUCAUUAUUUAUUGUGCCAUAAAUUUCACACUCCCAAGAUCUGAUAUGUCAAACUGGAACUUCUUCACUUUUGUGUUCCAUUACCUGUAGUCCCUCAAGCUUCACAACAUUGGGAUGAUCCAACUUCUGUAAUAUCAUUAUUUAUUGUGCCAUAAAAUUCACACUCCCAAGAUCUGAUAUUUCAAACCGAGACCUUCUUCAAGUCAACUAUCUUUUGUAUCAUUUUCUUACCAUAGAAUUGACCAUUUUUCAAGUUAUACUUGCAUCAGUUGCUCACAGAAUUAAGGGAAAUAAUAUCAUCAACCUUCAAUAAAUUCUUGUUACUUGGAUCAAGUGUGGUAAAAAGCAACUCAGAUCAUAUAAAACAACCAACUUGGUCCUGUCCAGUUUAGAUUAUUCAACACUCUAGCCAAGUUAGUAAAGAAUGAGAGCAUCAAAGAUUUUAGUGAAUCUUUUUCUUUUUUCUUUCCAGCACUUCCUUUGUCGACAAAAUUGUUUGCAACACAUGCAUCGAUGAUAUCAUGUGCUUUAUGAUAUCAUCAGACAGGGAAAUAAUAGUGAAACUAGAAGCCCUGAUCAUUGAAUUGUGCUUGUCAUUGUUGUACAAAUAGCUGAAACUUGAGAAUGCAAUCCCCUUAACACUUCCAUGGGAAAAACUGAAGAGUUAAGAUUGGAAUAUGCAAACCACUAGCAUUUUUGCCAUUUUAGAAUUUAGAAGUUGCAAUGCAAGAUAACGUAUGACAAACAGAACUUAAGAAGGGUGUAACACUCCUAACCCGUAUCCAUCGUCAGAAUAGGGUUAUAGAGCAUUACCGGAGUUUACAAAUUAAUUUACAGACAUUUCAUUUCAUCAAGCAUUUAUAUUUAUAACCAAUCAAAAUCAAAACAUUAAUGAGCUAACAUUGGCCAAUUUAACUUAUACAUGUCAUUAUAACCAGAAUCAAGUCAUCCAAAAUUAUCGAUAAAACCAAUGGAUAGUGUGAUAUAUCUUCGACAAGCUUCCAACCCAAUCUAGCUUCUGAUAAUCAUUUCAAUGCAUCUAAUAAUUAUACAUAUUACCAAUAACAAUUCAAUUCCAAUAAGAAAACACAUAUUUAUAUAAUAUUCAUCACCAAAUAACAUUCACUUUAAUUAAAAUUAUACAAAAUAUAAUUCAUACGAACUUACCAGGCUAAAUUGCAAAAAUACCAAAAUUCAGGGACAUUUUGGUUAAUUUUUUAUUUUCCUCGAAAUUUCCACCCAAUCUUGAUCUAAAUUAAUAUUUCAUUCAAUUUAUUAAUUUAAAUAAUAAAACAAUUCAUUUCAUGCAAUUUGGUCACUUUUUGACAUUUUUACAAAAUUACCUUUAAAAUUUUACUUUUAUUCAAUUUAGUCCCUGAACCUAAAACAUGCAAAUUAGCCAUUUUUAAUGAAAACUAAUGCUAGUUGAAUAAUCAUAUAUUUUCCUCCUCCUCCUGUCCUUUCCACAUCCUUAAUGUAUAUAACAUGUUUAUAUGUAACAUUAUCUAUAAUUUCACUAUUUAUUUAUAUGUUCAUUCAAAGCUGUCCACUUGAGUCAUAGUCACUAAAUUAUUUAUAUCUUGAGCUACGAAACUCCGAAUUAAGAUCCGCUAAAUUUAUAUGAAACUAUACUCACAUAUCUUAUUACCAUAAAAUUUUCAGAAUUUAUGGUUUAGCAAAUAAGUACAAUUUAUUCUUUAAAGUCAUCCCUGUUCUACUGUCUGACAGUUUCGACCCUUCUUCACUAAAAAUUAAUUAUCUCCUCGUACAGGAUUCAGAUGAUGUUCCCAUUUGUUUCUAUUGAAAAUAAACUCAUUAAUAAUUUUAAACAUAUAAAUUCUAACCCCCAAUUAUUUUUAUACAAUUUUUAAUGAUUUUCCAAAGUCAGAAAAGGGGAACCGAAUUCAUUCUGACCUUGUCUCACAAAAUUUAUUAUACCUGAUGAUUUACAAUUCAAUUACUUACACCGUUUCUUCUAUGAGAAACUAGACUCAAUAAGCUUUAAUUCCAUAUUUUUUAAUCCUCUAAUUCGAUCUCUACAAUUUAUGGUGAUUUUUCAAAGUUAGUCUUCUGCUGCUGUCCAAAACUAUUUUAGUGCAAGAUGUUAAUUACUAAGUUUAUAACUCCCUAUUUCCCUUUCUCUAUAAUAUUUCCCAUCACUUUUACACUUAUUCCCCUUCACUAACAUAUCAAGAAUAUAAGACAUUAUAUAAGAAAACUCUACUAUAACAUCAUUUCCAUGCUUUUUCAAUAAUAUCAAACUUAAAAAUAUAUUGAAAUCUUGAUGUUCUUACCUUGCCCUUUUAGUUUCAAACUUUAACUUGAUUUUCUCUCUCCUCCAGCUUCUAUUUCUUAAAUCUAACUUGAUAUUUUAGUUCCCCAUAGUCUCCUUGUUAUCUUUCUCUCUUGAUGGAUAUGGAAAUUCUUUUGAUUUCUAAGUGAAAAUGGUGAGUAUUUGGUGAAAGGACUAAAUUGUAAAGAAAAGAAAACCUUCUUUCUUUCUUCUUCUUCUCACGUUGGUGCAUGGGAAAGAUGAUGAUAAUUUUUCAUCUUUCUCUCCUUAUAUAUUAAAUACAAUAAUAGAAUAAUAAUAAAAUAAUAAAAUAUCUCUUUAAAAUAUUAAUAAACUAAUAUUUAUUUAUUUAAUUAAUCUAAAAUAUCACCAAAUCAUCAUUGCCUUUUAGAUUUCUCUCUCUCUUUUAAUUAACCAUUUUGCCCUUUAUAAUCUUUAAAAUUUUCAUUCUUGAGUCAUCACUUAAUUUGGUAAAAUUAUGAUUUAGUCCCUCAAAAUUUUUUACCUUUUCAAUUUGGUCCUAAUUCAUCCAUUUUCUUUAUUUUACUAAAUCAAGUAUACCUACUUUAUUACUGUAAUAAUUUUCUGGGUAUUACGAGGGGCUUCAUCAUAGAAUGUAGAAAAAGAAAAACUGUCCAAUAGGAUGUUGCCAAGUCAUGAUACUGAUCCCACAUGAAGGGUCAUGAAGGGUGUUAGCUAUCUGAUUUGGCUAACUUGUCUCAUCUGUCAGACAGCAAUUGGGAAGGGAGAAUCCUCAUUCUUCUGACCUUCUAAACUGCUGCAGCUACCCUUAACCCUGAGCAACAGGACCUAAACUUGAAUCUAUCAUAUUUGGUAGACAUUGAUAAGUAAGGAUUCAAUCAACCCUACAUUUUUAUCUUAUAAUCUCCUACAUCCUACAACUUCAACUAUGGAUCAUGGAAUAUUUAGCCGUUGAACAAACUUUGUGAACUUUUGAAAUAGUUCAACAACUGUGUGAUCUCUUUUGCCUGUUGGAAGCAAGCACCCUGAGGCAUUGAUUCAAAAUUUUCACAAUAGAUUUUUAAAAUUGCCAACUUGUUGCAUGAUAUUGUUAUUUUUGGCCUUUUAUGACAGACCAUUGAUUAUGAUGCUAUGCUGCAAUUUUGUUUUUUUUUUCGCAUUUUCCUCUAAUCAUAUGGAUUUUAUUUUUCUGUAAAAGAAGUUAUUUAAGAAACAUUUUUUAUGUCUAUUGUGAAGUUUUUCAUCAUUCAUUAUGGUAACUUGUACCUAUUUCCUCUGGUGCUACUCUGCCCUUUUUUUCCCACCGAGAUGAAACUUGUUUAUUAUAUAUAUAUAAUAUUAAGGUAUCCUGCCACACCACUAGCAGGCAAUUUCUCCAACUUGAACUCAUGAUAGCUGUGAACACCCUCGGCCAAUGAACCAAACACUGGGGUUCAGUCCAAAACUUUCUUUAACCUAUCGAAUUAACUAGUUUCUCCUAGCCUUUUUACAUUUUAUCAUAAGAAGCUAUUCAAAAUGUUAUAAAAACUUAAUUACUUCAUAAUCAAAUUAAUGCCACAAUCAGAGGGCUCACUAAUUGAUUUAAUUGUUGAAGGAAACACGACCUUUAGUCAUGCGCUCUUUACUUUAUGUUCCUGGCAUCACUAAAAAUCUUCUCUCUGUUUCCAAGUUCACUAGUGAUAAUCAAGUGAUGUUUGAGUUUUUUCCAAAGGAGUGCAAGGUUCGGGACCUAAAGACAAAUGAAGUUCUGUUGCAUGGAGAUGUUCAUGGUGGUUUAUAUCGUUUAAAGUUGCCAUUUUCUUCUUCAAAUCCGUCUGCUCAAUGCUAUGUUACUUCGCAUACUACUCCGUUGUCUUUAUGGCAUGCUCGUCUUGGGCAUCCAUGCCGCUCUACUCUUGUUCAAGCUCUUCAAAAUUGUAAUGUUUCAUUUCAUGAUAAUAAAAUUGGUGACUGUUGUCCAGCAUGUCAAAUGGGAAAAGCUCAUAAACUGCCUUUUACAAAUUCUUGACAGAGUAUACAACACUGUUACAAUUAAUUAUAUCUGAUGUUUGGGGACCAGCACCGGUUACAUCAAAUGGUUUCUCCUAUUAUGUGGCAUUUACAGAUGCUUUUUCUAGAUAUACAUGGAUAUACUUUCUCACUCGAAAAUCAGAUGUUUUAAGUGUGUUUAUUCAAUUUCAUAAGAUGGUGGAACGUCUUCUUGGUCACAAGAUAAAAGUACUUCAAACUGACAAUGGUGGAGAAUUUCAAGCUUUAAAAGGGUAUCUAUCGCACCAUGGUAUCAUUCAUCGUUUAUCAUGCCCUCAUACUUCUGAGCAAAAUGGCAUAGUUGAACGGAAACAUCGCCAAAUUGUUGAAUCUGGGUUGUCGAUGCUUGCUCAUGCUAGUAUGCCUCUACACUACUGGAAUGAUGCCUUUACAAGUGCUAUUUUUCUUAUUAAUCGACUUCCAACCAAGGCGUUAGAUGGUUUUUCUCCGUUUGAAAAACUUUUUGGCACAAAACCAGAUUAUCAAUUCUGCCAUGUAUUUGGGUGUCUCUGCUUUCCAAAUUUGCGCCCCUUCAACAGGAACAAAUUGAAUUUUCGGUCAGAGCCUUGUGUUUUUCUUGGUUAUUCUCCUUUACAUAAAGGAUAUCGGUGCCGGACAUCAGAGGGUAAAAUCAUUGUUUCACGUCAUGUCAUUUUUAAUGAACAACAAUUUCCCUUUAAACAAACCCAAUCUCAGCUUUUACCUCACCAAAAUAAAAAUUCAACCACUACCUUGUAUAUUGUGCCAUCACCUAUCAACUCAUCCCCUCCUUCACGUCACAUAAGUCCAUCACCUCCACAUAUUUCUUCUACUACUCCUACACACACUAUGAGACCCACCAUGUGUUCACUUGAUAACCCCCCAUCUUCGGCCUAUAUACCAUCCCACCCUCCUACUUUAUCUGACAAUUCCCACACUACAAUUAACCCACCAUCACAUUCUACUCCUAUACUCACACCACAAAUUGAUCAAACUAAAAAUUUUGAACCACAACAAGCUUCCACCACAAACACCCAUCCCAUGAUAACUAGAAGCAAAGCUGGAAUUUUUUGCCCCAAAAUUUUACUUUCUCAAGCACCUUCCUCUGACCCUGAGUUACCCUCUGAUAUUCAUAGUGCUAUGUGUUAUCCUCACUGGCAAAAUGCUGUUCAUAGUGAGAUUCAAGCUUUGAUAAAAAAUAACACUUGGACAUUAGCUCAUUUACCAUCUUCUCAUCGUGCUAUCGGAUGUAAAUGGCUGUUCAAAGUUAAGAAGAAACCAGAUGGUACAGUGGACCGUUACAAAGCGCGUCUUGUUGCUAAAGGGUUCUCUCAAAAUGCCGGUUCUGAUUUUGUUGAUACUUUCAGCCCAGUAGUUCGUGCCAACACUAUACGGACUGUUCUUGCUAUUGCUGUUAUGAAAGAAUGGAGUCUUCGUCAAAUUGAUGUAAAUAAUGCGUUUCUUAACGGCAUUUUUACUGAAGAAAUUUAUAUGCAACAACCACCGGGAUUCGAAGCUCAGGGGUUGAACGGUGAGUCAUUGGUAUGUAAGCUCAACAAAGCAUUGUAUGGCCUUAAACAAGCUCCUCGAGCUUGGUUCAACACUCUAAAGGAUUUCCUUGUCCCCAACUUGGGUUUUCAGCCUUCCAAAAUUGAUUCUUCACUCUUUAUUCGACACACUGCCCGCUCACAAGUAUUUCUUAUGGCUUAUGUUGAUGAUAUUAUUUUAACCGGCAAUUCUCAAUCUGAUAUUGAUGAUAUUAUCACCCAACUUCACUCUCGAUUUGCUAUUAAAGAUCUUGGAACUCUUCAAUAUUUUCUUGGUAUUGAGAUUUGCUCUAUGACUGGUGGCUUAUUACUUUCACAAAAGAAAUAUCUUCUGGAACUGCUUCAUCGAACUGGUAUGCAUGGUGCCACACCUACUCCUACGCCAAUGGUAGGUCUCCCUCAUCUGACUCGCAAUAAUGGUACUCCUUUUGAAGAUACUCAUUUAUAUAGAAGCGUAAUCGGCACUCUUCAAUAUGCUUGUAUUACCAGACCAGAUCUCACCUAUUGUGUUAACAAACUAAGUCAAUAUAUGAAUCAUCCUCUAGACACUCAUUGGAAAGCUGUAAAAAGAGUAUUGAGGUACAUCAAUGGAACUCUUGAUUAUGGAUUGCGGUUCAAAAAGGGGUGUUUUAAUCUUGUUGGAUAUUCAGAUGCUGACUGGGCCUCCACUCCUGAAGAUCAACGCUCCACCACCGGCUACUGUAUUUUCUUAGGACCAAAUCCUAUCACGUGGUCAUCUAAAAAGCAGUCAGUUGUCUCCCGUUCAUCUACUGAAGCUGAAUAUAGGAGCUUAGCUAAUUGUGCUUCUGAAAUGCUUGGAUUACAACAACUUCUUGAUGAACUUGGUAUAAGUCUCACACACACACCAAUUAUAUGGUGUGAUAAUACCUCUGCCGUUUCAAUCUCCGCCAAUCCAGUUCACCACUCAAAAGUUAAACAUGUUGAGAUUGAUCUAUACUUUGUAAGGGAAAAGGUUCUCUCUGGAGCUUUGCAAGUCAACUAUAUCCCCUCAAAUAAACAAAUUGCUGAUUCUCUCACUAAACCCAUCUUACCUAAAGACUUUUCUCACUUUCGCAAAGCUUUAUGUGUUUCUUCACCACAAGCUAUAGAAGACGGGGAGGAUGUUGAAGGAAACGUUACUAGUAUGGACAGGUGUCAAAUGACCAGUGGAGGCUCCUAACUUUUGUCGUCAUUCACAGCAGCCAAGGAUUUUCUGUUUUUCUGUUUUCAUUCUUCUCAACAGAUUGCUCCACGUUGCUCCUCUUAUUUUCCAUUACUAAAAUCUGUUUUUGCUCUCAAUCUCUACUAUAAAUGUACCAAAAAAAUGAUCCAUUAAAUAGAAUGAAGGGAUUCAUUUUCUCAUUUUCUGAUUCUCCAUUAUUUUUCUGCUUAUGCUCUAUAUUUAGCUUCUUUUUUUUUUUACUGUUCUUAACUUUAAUGUGGUGUAAACAUGAUGAAAUGUGCCCAUUCCUGUAGCAAUUCAUAACUAAAAUUACAAGCAAGGUGGCUAGUAUUCUGCAGAAAAAAGCUACAAACAUCAAAAUAAAGAACUUGAUGACUUGAAAUCCAAGCAAAUUGUUGAGAUACAGCUUGUUAUAAUUGAUUGGUGAAGCAACAAGAAUGGCAAACAACUUGCUCAACAAGUUGCAGACAAAACAUUGGAUAUAACUUACAGAAAUCAUAAAGUAUGACUAGCAGCAGCAUUGUGGUAUACAAGAAAAAGAGUCAUUCCAAAUCUAUUAUCCCGAAAUUCGAGAGCAUGAUCUUUACUUGAUCGACAAAAUCCGAGCCUGUUGCAUACUCGGUUAACAUCCCAACAGCAAAACCAAACAUUGCCCAUCUGCAACACCAACAUCCCCAAAAUCAAUUACAAACAGUAAGUAUUUGUAUGUCAUUACAAGCAGCAAGGAUAAGGGUUUUAGAACAAGUUAAAUGCAAUAACAAACUAAACAGAAAAUGCUUAAAAAUGUGAAAAGAAAGUUCAAGUUUUAGAGUGUGUCUGUGUUGGCAUGUACAUACAUACAUAUAAUAUAUAUAUCUUCUUCCAAGGAAGAUAUUUGGUUGCUUCAAUCAAAAUCCGUUAUUAGUGGACACUUCUGUUCUAUGAACUAUUCUCUCAAUAUCACGCAAUGUGCUCAUAACUCAUAUGCUAUGGCUAUGGCUAUUCUGCUAAAGUUAUCAAACAGAUUUAUAAGGUUUUGAAAUCAAAUUUUAAGAAUAUGAUUGAUAAAAUCCACAUCCACACACCCCAAAUCUCAAAACUUCCAUAAGAUGGCAAAUAACAUAUCCGCAGCAAUGUAAUUGUUGUUCACUCAGUUUUUAAUUAAGACAAAGCAAAAUUAAGGGUAAAAAUAAAGGGCAUAAAUAAUAAUUCCAUUUACCUUCCAUUAGCAAUCUCAUUCUUCCCAAGGAACCCAAAGAAAGGCCCUUGACUAGAUUCCUCAAGCUUCUUCUGCUUAAAGUAUUCUUGCAGCUCCUUUGCCUUCUGUCUCUGAAACUCCAAAGUGAUCACAUUCUGGUCCCCAACAGCUGCCGCUGAAGGCGGCGGAGACGGAGGGGAAGAAAAAGAAGGAGGUGUCGGUUGUGGCGGAGGAGAAGCGGAGGGAGAAGAAGGUGGGACGGGUUUCAAAGGAGGUGGUGGAGAAGGUGCCACAGGUCUUCUCAAAGGACCCUCAGUUUGAGAACUUCUUAUCGUCACAAUAUAAGGCUUGGGUGGUACAGACAAUCUACAACUGGUCGAAGAUGAGGUUGAUGAGGAACAUGGAGGUGAAGCAGAAGAAGGGUUUGGGAUUUUCAGACAUGAGAUUGAGGUUGCCGUAGACAUUAGUAUUAGGUGGUUGUUUUUUCUUUGGUUUAUCUAAACUCUGGGGAUUUUUGUGUGUACUUUUUAUGAUCUUACAGGGUUGAGAUUUGUGUCAGAACUUAGAAGUGGGGUGUGUGGAUAAGGCGUCGCCAAGUUUCAACGGACAGAUGGCUUUGAACGUAUGUGUAGCUGUCCAUUUCGACAUGAGACCAUUACAUAGAAUAAAAUUAUUAUUUAUUAUUACAAAUACAUGAGAUAAAAUAGUAUGAAAUAAAUAAUAUAAAAAUGUUUAACACAUAUUCUUAAAAUGUGCACACAAUUUCCAUGAAAAAUAACAAAUAAAAAAUUCUAAAUAAAGAAUAAUUAUUAGAUUAAUAUUUGAUACAUCGGCAUUACAUAUAUUUUUUCAUUUUAUAAGUUGUUUUAAAAAAUUAUCAUGUAUAUAUUUUUUAAAAUAUUUAUUUUUUAAUAUUUUAUUGAAUUCUAUAAAAAAUUUGUCAACCUUUGAACUUUAGUUGUGAAGUAAAAAAACUACAUUGAUAGUAUACUAAAUAUUAUUCCAUAAUUAUUUAGUUUAAUUUUUUUAAAUGAGAUGAAUAUGCAACUAUUUAGUUUAUUAGAAAAUGGGGGGGGUUAGUAUUUGAAAAUUAUUAGUGGUAAAAUCACUUUUUGGAGCUUAAACUUGGUAAUUACUUUUACAUUUAGGCUUAAACUUUUUUUAGUCUUUGAAUUUGGAAAUAAUUGUCAAGUUCAGAUUCUAAUGUAAGAGUGAUUAUCGAGUUCAAGGACUAACUUAGGCAAAAAAAAAGAGUUUAAGCCUCAAUGUGAGAACAAUUGUCUAGUUCAAACCCCAACAUGAUAACAAUUGCCAAGUUCAAAAACUAACUUGAAUAAAAAAAAACUCAAACAGAGUUGUUGACAAGUUUAGACCCAAGAAAAUGAUAUAACCAAAUUAUUGAAUAAUCAAAAUUCUCUGUUUUGCUUUUCCUAAUUAUUUCAGGAAAGGUUGAAACUAGAAAAUUGGUUUAGGGAACAAAAAUGAAUAAUAAAUUUUUAGAGGGUCAAGUGUGAUUUUAUCAUUAAAUUAAUUUGCGAUUUCACAAAAUUAAAAGGGAUUAUAAAUUAAUUUACCAAUUUGGGGGGGCCAAAGUCCAUUGCCCCUGUUGUCGCCCCUCGUUUCAAGAGUCUCCACCAUACUAAAUCCAAAUUUAUUUUUUUAUUAGAAUUCAGAAUUUUUAUUUUUCUAAAUAAAUCUUGGGUUUGUGUUUGGAGAUUCCUUUGGAUCAUUGGACUUUGAUUUCAAAUUUUUCCCCUCCAAUUAAUUUGUUGAAUUGAGGGAGCUCCGGAGAAUUUAAAUUAUUUAAAGACUAUCAAUUCUUUCUACUUAGACUUGUGACAGCUCUUCAAACAUUUCUUUUUUCUUAGGAUUUGUGGGAGCUUUAAAGAAUUUAGAGAAAUUUGGAUGCACCACUAGACUAAAUCAUUAAAACAGCAGCAAUGUCGAUUAAAUUAUUUAUUUCAAUGAAUAUGUAAUAGUAAAAUUAAAUUUAGUAGUAGGACUAGGAGAUGCAUUUAAUAAAAGUGUAUAUAGGUAUAUUAUUUAUAUAUAUGUCUUAAUAAUAUUUAUAAACAAUACAUAUUAACUCUAAAAACAAUACAUAUUAUUACGUAUAUUAAUUAAAAAUUUUAAUUUAUUAACUAAUUAUACAAUUAUAUAAAUAUAUUAUUAUAUUAAAUAAAUAUCUUAAAAAUAAAUUAACCAAGUAAAAUAUUUAUAAUAAAUAACUUAAAAUAUAUUUUAUAAAAAAUGAAUAAAAUUAGAACAAAAAGUAUUGCCAGGAAAAAAAUGGUAGAAAGUAAUUAUAGAGGGUCCAAUUAACACUUGCCAGAAUUCUACCUAAAAUAUCUAACGAUUUUAAGUCUCUUUUUUUCGCAAACCGUGACAAAUGGUAUAUUUUUAAUAGAUUCAUUUAGAUUGAUAUUAAUAUAAUUAUACUGAUAAAAUUUUGAAUCAAUUUAAUAUUUUUAGCGCAUUAAUUUAAAAUAUUGUGUAAUAGUCCGAUUUUAGGCCUAGUCGGAACAAUGGUUUCGGGACCACAAAUCCGACGAGAAAAAAAAAUGUAAUGGCCUGAAUUUUCAGAGGUGUCGGAACGGUGAUUCGAGAUCACUAAAUUCGACAAAUGGGUAGAAAAUAUUAUUAAUUAGUAAGUAUAAGUUAAAUGUGAAGUUAGGAAAAUUUUUGAAAUAGUGAAUAGUGCACUAGAAAUAAAUAUUAAAAUAAUUAGAAUCGAAAUGAGGUAUCAAGACCUCGGGGAUUUUAAACCGAGCCAUAAAUAUUUUUAUAAAUAUUUAUAGAGUGUUAAAAUUUUAGUAUUAAAGUUUCGUUAAGAAAUUUUAAAGUUCCGAUAAUUAAUUGAACAAAAAGGACUAAAUUGUAACAAAUGCAAAAUUUUAGAAAAUAAUUAAAUAGUUUAAAUGAUAAAAGGAAGAGGGCUUAAAAGGCAAAUAGACUCAAGGUCUAUUUGGGCUGGACGGCAAAGGCAUGAAAUCAGCAAGAAAGUAAGAAGAAUUAAGGGUAAAAUUGGAAUAUUGUAAAAUUUGCUUAAUAAAGUUAGGACCAAAGUGGAAUUAUCUAGAUUUCUCUUCAUUUUUCUGAAUUCUCAUAAGCUAAAACACCAUGGAAGGGCUUCUUUAAGCUGGUUCUUCAUAUUUUUAUUACAAGUAAGUUCAAUUCUUGACUAUUUCUUAAAAUUUUUGUAUUUUUAUGACUUUUACAACUAGGCCCACUUGUUAAAUUCAUUAGUUUUUGAUUUUAUGAAAGAAGUUGAAAGUUGAUAUGAAUAUGUGCUGAAAUUAUAUGAUGAUUUAGCAUGAAAUUAGAGCUUUAAAUUGUUCAUAUGCUGAUUUUAUUGAAAGAAUUGAAUAGAAAGUGAAUGUUUGGGACCUAAUAGUAAAAGAGUUUGAAGAUAGAGUUAUAUGUGUAAAUUCUGAAUUUCAAUAGUUGUGUAACAACUUAUAAUGUCUAGGUAAAGUAUUAAUUGAGAAAAUUAGAUUAAUUGAGGGGUUAAUUGAGAAAGGACCGAAUUGUAUAAACUGUGAAAUUUGGGGCAAAAUGGAAAUCAACAUUUUGCACUAAAGCAGUUUUGGACAGCAGCAGUAGUGUAACUUUGAAAAAUCACAAAAAAUUUUAGAGAUUGAAUUAUAGGAUGAAUAAAAUAUGAAACUAAAGCUUAUUGAGUCUAGUUUCUUAUAAAAGAAACGGUGUGAACAAUGGAAUUGUAAAUCAUGAGAUAUAAUAGAUUUUGUGAGACAAGGUCAGAAUGAAUUCGGGUUUUCCUGUUCUGACUUUGGAAAAUCAUUAAAAAUUGUACAAAAAUUAUUAUGAGUUAUAAUUUAUAUGGUUAGAAUCCUUAAUGAGUCUAUUUUUAGAAUAAAUAAACAAAAACAUCAUCUAAAUUUUGUAAAAUGAGAUAAUUAAUUUUUUAGUGAAGAGUGGUCGGAACUGUCAGACAGCGAAACAGGAGAAACUUUAAAGAAUAAAUUGUACUAUUUGGCUGAACCAAAAAUUCUUAAAAUUUUAUUUUAUGAAGAUAUGUGAGUCUAGUUUCAGAGAAAAUUAACUGAUCUUAAUUUGGAGCUCUGUACCUCCGGAUAAAAAUAAUUUAGUGACUCUGACACGGAUAAACAGUUUUGAAUAUACAUGUGAGUGAAUAGUGAAAUUAUAGCUAAUGUUGUUUAAGUGUGUUAUACACAUUAAGGAUGUGGAAUGGAGAGGAGGAGGAGGAAAAAUUGGGAAAUAUAUGAAUGAUUUGUGUAUAAUUGGUCAUAUGCUUGAUUUUAAUUGAUAAACGAUGAAAUAGAAAUGAUGCUUAUAUUUGUGCAUUAUUGGUCAUGGUUUAAGCUCAUGUGUGAAAAUAAAAGUUUCAUAGCAUGUGUGUAUGGUAUAUUCGGUAUAUGAUUUGGCAUGAAAUAAUGUCAUUAAUGGUUUAUGAAUUAACACAUGUUGGUAAGCCUGAUACAUGAAUAAAUGUUGUGCUCAUCCAUGCUUAUAAUGCUUAUGUUAUACGUGUAUUUGGCUAACAUAUUUGGUGUAUAUGCUUAGGCUUUGGCCAAGUAGUGGCUAGAUUAUGCCACGUUAAAUUUAUAAGUUAUGCAUUGAAAUGGUUUAUCGUGUGGUUAGUUCCAAAAAGAGUUAUGUUUAAAUACACUAGCUUGCAACUAUGGUUGAAUGAUAUGCUUAUAUCUUGUGUGAUGUGCAUAGAAACAAGUAUGGAAAGAUAAUGAAAUAAUAAGUUCAUAUGGCUGAAAUUUAAUGAUUAAAUGUUAAUUUCAUGAAUUAUACAAUGUAUGAUGAAAUGUAUUUAUUUUUGAAAUGAGAAUAAAAUAAAAAUGUGAAAAAUCGAAUAAAUGAUCAAAUUAAGCGGAACACCGGAUUUGAGUACUUCUGAUCAAGUGACAAAGUGAUAAGUGGUAGCUUUAGCUACACUUAUCACUUAUCUGAUCAAGUGAAAAAGUGAUAAGUGUUAUACUUAUCUGAUCAAGUGACAAAGUGAUAAGUGUUAGUCUUAGCUACACUUAUCUGAUCAAGUGAGAAAGUGAUAAGUGGUAGCCUAGCUACACUUAUCUGAUCAGGGACAAGUGAUAAGUGAUCAUACGUAAGACCAUAGUUAUACUAUGGCAAAAUGAAAGUGAAGUACUCAAUUUUCUGUAACUGUUCCCUAAUUUGAUUAAGGAUGGUAAGUGACAAAUGGGCCCAAAAGAAUCAAAGUAAAUGGAUAAGUGGUAGUGUAUUUAUAUCAGGACGAUGUUGUUAUUCAAGCUAAAGUGAUAUUUUCAUUGCAAAAUUGAGAAUUUCAUAAAUGUGUUAUUGAAUGGUAUAAUCAAUAAACAUUGAGUUAAAUGGUAAAUACGUAUUAGUGUUGAACUUGAUGUCAUUGAAUUGUACGUGAAUUAAAUGGAAAUUGCUAGUGAUAUGAUCUAAAUCGUGAGCAUGAGAAAUUGCGAAUUGAAGGAAAUGAAAAUGAAGCAUUGAAUUGCAUGAGUAUAUAUCGGGUCUCGUAAGACCUAAAUUAUUAUGAUUAUAACAUUUUGAGGAUAUACUGUGAAAGGUUAUAGGAGCAUGUUAAUUAUUUUGAAAGUUUUAAUUUAGAUGAAAUUUUAUAACUCGGUUAAAUACGUUUACAAGUGCAUGUGUUUUAGUAAUGCCUCAUACCCUAUUCCGGUAUUGAAUACGGGUAAGGGGUGUUACGUAUUGUCUAUAUUAAUAUAUUUAAUAAUUAUUUUUUUUGAACAUAAAAUAUUAUCUUUUUAUUUUACUCUAAACUUAAUAUACAUGAUUUAUAUAAAUGAAACAUAAAAUAUGAUUGUUAAAAUAUUGAUCAUAAAAAGAAAUUAAUGAAUUCAUCGAAUAUAUAUAUAAAUAUAAAUGAUAAAAAAGAGUUCGGUUACUAUAAUGAAAGAAGAAAGGUUGUUAAAUGGUUAAUAUAAUAAAAGAAACUUUACAAACGAAAACCUCCAAACGGAUAAAACUAUUGCCAUACCUGAAAAAUAAAGUUAACAUUGCAACAUUUUAAAUUAAUCUGUAAAGUGUUAUUUUUUUUAUUCUAUACGCAAUGUAUAAAAUAAUAACAAUAAUAAAUUUAAUCAUUAUCAUUUAUAUUUUUGUCAAAUUAAUCUUAUUCUUUUUAGUUAAAUUUAAUCUUCAACCUUUUAAAAAAGAUAAAAAAUUAAAAUGUUGAGCAUAACAACUUGUAUAUAAAACAAGUAUUACCAUGUCCAAAUAAUACAUAAAGAUUGCCACACAUUUGCCAUGCCAACAUAAAUCUAAUAUUUUAAUUGAUAUUUUCAUUAAAAAAUUGAUUUAAUUAAUCAAUACUCAAAUUAGGUUAAAAAAUAAAGACCAAAUUAAUAAAAAAAAUUAAAUAUUAAAAACUAAAUUUACUCAAAAAAUUAUUAGACGAUGCUGAAUUUUUUUUUAAACAUAUCCACUUAACUAUUCAUAUAUGUAUGACCAAGUAACUAAACUAUUCAAAGAACCGGAAUAGACUUGGAAAAUAUAUCUACACAAACCUACACAAUGAUAAUAAUACACGUGGAACCUCGAAAAUUCCUGAAACCACCUCUUUACUAUUAAGUUACACAUUAAAAAAAACAAAGGUGAUGACUCAGACGGAAAUUUUAAUUGGAUAACCAACCGGCUACAUCUUAAAACAUCAGAAGAGCGUCAAGUAAACAAGUAAAAGUACUAGAGAAACAAAUUGAAAGCCUGGGAAAGAUGAUAAAAAUGAAACAUCAAAUUAUUAAAUAUUUAAAUAUAGACACAAAAAUAUCAAUCCAACUAAGGUGGCCCAGAAAGAGGGCUCCUUUUCUACAAUUUAAAAAAAAAAAAACAUUUUGCUUCUUCUUUGCCCAAAAUUCAAUUGAACAUUUCCAAGAUUAACCUCUUUUACCUGACAUAUGCAUCAUUCAACUCAAGAUAUGACCCAAACUACAUAAUUGUACACGAACAACUUCUUUCACUUCCAUUAUCAAAUUCAUCGUCCGAUCCACCUGUUUCACUGACAUUAGACAGAAACGUACAAUUUCAUCACCAUAGUUCAAGGUAAUCUUAUGAUAGACUCAAAAAAGAAAAAAAGUGAAUAAAGACUGAAAGAGCGAGGGAUUGGCAUGCAAAAACAUGAAAAGAAGAACUAACAAGGAGGCUAUUUGAACAGUUAAAUAAAAAUAAACAAGAAACCUAGGAUCUUCACCAUCUAGGUAGUAAGAAGCGAUACCUGGCUAUGGAAUUACUGCAAACCAAACGAAUGUGCACUAUGGAUAACAUAUUUAACAGUUUUGGAAUAUGGAACUGAAAGGAAAACUGGUAGGUUACUUAUUAAAAUAGCCAUGCCAACGGCAUACAAUGCACAUAUUUCUUGCGAGUCUUUUGACAAAAUACUUGGGAAAAAAAACAGAGGAUGAAGGAAGACUGCUAAGUGAUUAUCUGCCUAGUGCUAUAUAAGAAGACAAUAUUACCAUUCCAAAAAUGCAUGCUGACAUGCAUCUAAUAACAAAAUCACAUUCAACAACUCAACUAAAACCUAAGGGGAUAUAUAUGUAUUAAGUAUGCAUGUAUAUUUUAGUAGUGCAUACCUUGGAAUUCUAAAUGAAAGUGUAAUCCAGGAGGGAAAGCUCCUCCAAAAACACAGGUACGUUUUAUAACACAAUUGUCUGGUCCUCUAUCAUUUUCAGUAUGGACCAGUCCUCAAAAACAUAAAUGCACCAUUGAUAUACCAACCGUACACUCUAAUCAAUGACAAGCAAGCAGUGAUCCAACAUUGAUGUAUCACAACACCUUGAACAACUUAAAGGCGUUCACACAUAGAAAAACCAUUAACUCCAAAUGUAAUUAAUGUUCAAUCUCUACCGACCAAACACCCCUUUGCAUGGAUUUAAAAUAAGAUAAUCAGCUGUCUUCCUGUUUAGUUGCUUUCUGAUGACCAAUUAAAAUUGAUAUGAAAAUUACUUACUACUUAAAUCCAAAGUACACGUAAAAAUUUGAACAUCACAUAAAAAUUUAUUGAAAAAAAUUUCUAAAACUUUCAAAUUUUGAGUUUACUUGUCAAGAUCCAUGAUAAAUCUAAUAUCAUUUCUAUAAAUGAAGUUGACAUAUUAGCUACCCAAAUGAUACAUUCAAGAGUACGUUCUCCUUAAUAAAAAAGAAAAAGAAGAAAGAUUAUUUUUCCUCAUAGAAUAAUCACAGUGAUCUCAGUGAUCCAUGAUCAAUCCAAUAUCUUUUCUAUAAAUGAAGUUGACAUAUUAGCUACCCAAGUGAUACAUUCAAGAGUACUUAUUAAAAAAAAGAGUAUUUUUCCUCAUAGAAUAAUCUCAGUGAUCUUGAGUAAAAACUCAGAAGUAUGCCCACAACUUUAGCAUUUCUAAUAAUUUUCUUCUUAAGCUUUAAAAUAUUUUAGUCCCAAGAAAAUUUACUUUCAUCUAUAUGCUUUUGAAGGCUGUCAUUACUCAUCGUAAUAACACAAAUUACCACCUACUAGGAAAUAAUGAUGCAUUCCACUCAAUUUAUUCAAAUGAUAACUCAAACAGGAGUAGGGCAUGUUAAUCACAUUUUGAAAGCCUAAAAAUAUGUGUCGGCUUCUUACAUAACCUCAAAAGAUCAUAUAUUUGAGAACCAAUGCUCUAAAAUCAGAUCUAUGUAAAUCAUGAACCAGGAACUAUGCAGUAUGCACUCAUGCAUCGUAACUAAGCAACCAGUAGCCAGGCUUCCUAUACAUUUACAACCAAGAAACCAACCCAAAGUUUCACAAAAUUUAGCAUCAACAGAGAAGUCCAAUUCAUAUCUAUGGGGCAUGUUGUAACAUCAUUCAGAUCCAAUUUCAAGUUUCCAACAUGUUAUUUUACUGUUCAAGAAGUAAAUACCUCGAAUUCAAAUUUUCUAUUGUUACCAUUCUUUGAAGGAAAACUAUGUAUCAAAAUAAGAUUGCACAAAGCUGUUUUGAUUUAUAGUAUUACACAAAUUGCAAUGGGUGUCAGCAGAAUUCAGAGAAAGUUUUAGUAUUUUCUCAAGCAAGAAAAUUUUGAUAUGUGAAUGAUCACACUAUUUUACGACCCAUGGGGCAUGAGUGUCCAUAGAAUCAUGGGGGAUGCUAUUAAGUAUUCAAAACUCCCUUAAUAACUAGCUAUAGAACAAUGAGAAGUGUAAGUUCAACAUGCACAUAAACUAAGACAGAAAACAUAUCAUGAUAGCAUAUAAACUUUAAAAAAAUGUUACUGCAUUGCCCUAGAACCUUAAUUAAGAGCAGAAUUUAUCGUACCUGGGCUCAAAUUCCCUGAUUUCAGCUAGCUCACUACCAUGAGCAUCCGUCCACUGUACCUUUCUUCGUUCUGGAUGACUAGGGAUAUCACCAUCCUUUUCCCCUGAUGCCUCAUGGUCAUUAACAUCCUCAACAGGAAUGAGAGUAUUGAUUGGUCGCUUCUUCAAACUACUUUUAAGGGCAAUCUCUCUUACAUUACUAUUUCCAUCAUCAAGUUGACUUGCGUGAUCAUUAGUUUUAUCCAAAACAUGAAGUUCUGGCAAGACAUCCUGCUGUUGAACAGGGCCAACUUUCAAAGCCGAUGCGGCAUCAAGUCCAGCGGAAGUGCGACCAAAGCAGACAAAAGAGGUGCACCCUCGGGAGAGCCGGUUCUUGAUGGAAGCCAGUUGAUUCAGGUCAGGUUCAGAUUCUUGGUCCACCAACUGGUAAUGAUUCCACGGCGAAACUCUCAUGGGCUUGUCCUCGUGUUUCUGACCCAAGAGAAGAAGGGCCAAGCCCUUGCUAUACCCAGACACUGAAGAACUGAAGAACCCUCCUCCUUCUACUGUCAAUAACAUGAGUUCUUCUCAUCUGGGGCAACCAGAUAACACCUUUGUUUUUCUUUUCAACAACCCUCAAGUUACAACAAAUUGAAGCAAACUAGCCCUAACUCCUUCAUCCAUCCAUAUCUCACAGUCAGUGAAAGUUAUGAAAAUUUCCCAAACAAUCAAAUUUAACAAUCAAUUAAAGGCAAAGCUCUUAAAUUUCAUAUGUAGUUACUAAGGAAGUGCAAAUCGAAGCAACCAAAAGUUAUUGCAGACAUAAUAACUAUUGAAUUCCUUAAAAUUAUCAACAAUGUCAAUCCUCUUUAAACAAUUUACUACCAUACAUAAUUAAUAUCCAUGAAUUUAUUAAAUAAUUAUUUAAACUUCAAUGCAUUAAUUUUAUUGUUUUUAAGCUCUAAGGAAAAAAAUCAACAGAGUUAGUAUUUUAUACACUGGACCAGCUCACAGCAACACUCAAUAAAUAUAGAGAAACUCUUAAGAACAUCCAUGGCAAAUAGAAAAUAAAAAAAUUUAAGAGUGAUUUAAGAUCUGUCUAUUUUUUAUGUAACAAGGGCCAGCUUAAAGCAGUGCUCUCUGUUUGAUUGAAGUGAAACCAUUAAAAAUGGAACACAUAGAAGAUGACAGUGAACAUCUAAAAUUAAAAGGAGAAAAAAUGAAAUGAUUUCCUUUCCUUUCACUUUCUCGGGAAACAAACAAGAAAUCAGAUAAAAAAAGGAGCUUCAAAAUUUACCUGAUGGCGAUUAAACGGAUCUGAAGAGUAGAAGAAACUCAAGAAAAUCAAAAUUGGCGGCGCCGGAAUGUUCGAUCGCGGCGAACGUACGAAUUAAUCGACGAGAUUUUGAAAAAAGGCGAGGCAAAAUAGGAAAAUAAAAAUAAAAGCCGAAGAAAAAAAAAAGAAAUAUUAGAGUAGGGGGAAAUAAAAAGAAAGCGUUUAUGUUUAGUUGCUAAAGUAAUCCUUGUAAAUAUAAAUAAUUUAAAUAUAAAUAUAAUAUAUAUUAAAUUAUUGAAUCAAUCAUAUUUAUUAAUAAUUUUUAUAAAUAAUUCUAAGUGAAUGAUAAGGAUAGUGACAUCCACGGCGGAAGAUAGCGAUUAGCGGUGGGUCCCAUUUUUUCUUAUUUGUUUUUUGGAUCUUUUAAGAGAAAAAAUCAAAAAAGAAGAAAGAAAGAUUUGAUGGGAAAUUGUGUGUUGGAAAGGUAAACUCAUAAUUAAUAGGGAUUAUGAUUUUUUUGACCUCUUCACCUUGUAAGAAAAUUAUUUUAGUGUUUUAUAUAUUUUUAGAUUAUUUUAGUAAUUAAAUUUGUAUUUUUUAUCAAAUCACUUUAAAAUAAAUAAAAAAUUAUAUUUAUUAAUUUUACUGAUAUGGUAUAUACAUGACUUACCACGUUAAUAACAUAUCAGCAUUUAACUAAUUCUUUUAAAUUUUAAAAAUAUUAUUUUUUUAUAAAUUUUAUACAUUUUAAAUGAUUUCUAAUUUUUAAAAAUAAUUCUUAUAAAUUUUUUUUGAAAAUUUAAAAAAUUAAUUAAAUAUUAACUUGUCAUUUACAUGGUAAUCCACGUGUACGCCAUGUCACAUUAACAAAGUUAAAAAAGGGUUAACUUUUUCAUCUAUUUUGAUUGAUUUGACAAAAACAAAAAAAACACAAGUUUAAAAGUUAAAAAAGAUGAAAUUUUAAAUGAAAAGUUAAAAUAACUUUUUUAUAAAGUUGGAGGGUCAAAAAAGUUAUUAUACCUAAUAAAGGAAAGAUUGGCUUUGUUUGUUUAUAAUAACAUUGCUGUUGAGUCUUAAUCAGUAAUUAAAAUUUUUUAACUUUUUAUCAACCAAGUCUUAGAUGGUUAAUCUUAUUGUUAUUGUAAAAAUUUGAACAACAAGGCUUCGAAUAAAUUUAAAGCAUUCCAUUCUAAGAACAGCGAAUUAUGAACUACUUAAAUAUUCUUUGUUAGUUCCUGAAUUCAUAUACAAUUUGAAAAAUUAAAAUGACUCUAAUUUCGGGUUGCAAACUUUUUUUCUUUACCAAUAACUUGAUUGUUGGGUAGAUACUCCUAUUCAAUUGGGAUUCAAUAUUAAAUACUCAUAUUGACACAUAUUAUAAUUAAAUUUAAAUAUUUUAUAAGUUAAUCGAUUUCAAAGAAAAAAAUGGUAUAAUUAUGUAAUCAGUUACCAUCCAUACCUAUUAUUAAAUUUUAAAAAAUCAAAAUUAUUUUGAAGUUUAAUUGCCAUGGUGACCCUUUGUUUAUUGGUAUCUCAGGAUAGUGAUGGAGGUCAAAGGAAGGCGGAUUAAGGUUAAAGUUGGUGGAAUAAAGCCAUAGCCACAUAUUCCUAGCUAUAAUGGUUUUAAUAAUGAGCUAGUGCUAGGCAGACAUGGUCUUAAGCAAUAAAAGCAACUAUGCAUAGUUUUGUUUCUUUUAUUAUUUUGUAAACCCACUUUUUUUUUUAUGGCUAUUUGUCACAUUUAUCGUUGCAUCAUCAAAUUCUUACUGCUAUGCUAUUUGACUGACUUUUACAAAUAUACUUUUGAAUAAUUGAAUACAAGUUUUUCAACCCAAAAACAGAAAACUGUGUGUGAAAUAUCGUAGAAUUAAAUUAUUAAAAAUUGUUCAAAAAAUAGUUUAGAAUAUUUAUUUGGCCAUUGUACUUUGUACAAGUUUUUUUUCUUUAUACUAUAAGAUAUUUUAAAUAUUUUUCAGCGCAAACCAUGUUUAAAAUUGUUUUGUAUGAAGCAGUUAUCAAAGUAUAAUAAGGCUGUUGUAGGAUUUCAUAGCUAGAACAAAGAUUCUACAUAAACAAAAUGAUCAAAUCCAAAUAAGCAAUCACAAGGAAUUCUUAUAAAGUAAAAUUUGAGAGAAUUUUAACAAGCCCUUCGAAAUAUUUUUUCCCCUUAAAAAAGUAGCUGAAUUUUGAUUGAACAAAAAAUGCUUUACUAUGAAAUUUAAACCCUCCAAGCAAAUAGAACUGAAACACAAACCGAGCACAAAGACAACACACUACACUAAUCUUUUUCAAACGCCUUCAACCAGUCACCUGUGCCAAUGUGCUUUUUAUUUCUGUGUGAUGUUUAACCAUCUUUAUGUCAUGCUUUCUUUACUUUGGUAACAGCAGCGACAAACAAAAUGGUGAUGCACCAAAAGCCCUUCCUGAUCUUGUUAAUCGUUGGGGGUUCAAAAGGAAGUUACCUUGCAUUCUCAGUAGGUAGAUUCAUGAGAUGGACUAUCGGCAUGCAUGUCCAUUGAGGAGUCAUUAGAGCUGAGAGGAUUUGAAUCCCUAGUCUGGUUUUGGAGAAAGCUAGGUUCAUUGUUCCUGGCUCCAUUUCCUGAAGGAAGGCCGCCAUUAGGACAGUAGCCUUCUUGAGCAAUGUGGUAAUGCUGGAGACUCCGACGAACAGGACUUGAUAAAGCAUUUGAGAACACUAAAUUUUUGGACUGCUGAUCACAAUGGUCAGGGCGAGUUCCCUGCACAGCAGUUUGGCCAGAUGAGCCUGUAGAGACCAUGAAACCGGUAUUCAUGAACUGCAUUGCAGGCUGGGAAUGCUGCUGUUGGCUUGGUGCUCUAGGUGACGUUGAUGGCUCUUCACCAUAGUCCAGUUCAUUCUAAAACCGGAUCACACAAUAUUCAGAUUUUCAGAAAAUGAUAGAAGUUAUCACAAAAAGGAAGGAUCAGAAAACACACAAGGGUAACUCAUGCCGAAAGGAUCACAAGAAGAUCCCCACAUUUCAGAAGGGAGAACCAACCCUUGCUAUCUUCGAAACAAAUAUACUAGCAUUUGCAAAAAUCUUUAGAGGCCAAAAUUAGAUCACAAAACUAACCAUUUUUGCUUCCAAGAGCAAAUAAUGCGUUUCACCAUCAAGGUACUAAAUACUGAUGUCACUCAAGGACAUUUGGCAUCUAGUUGAUUAGUGUGCAAACUUAACUACCGAAGAACAUAAUAAUACUCUUGCAAGUCUUUCACCCUUUCUGAUGCAAAAUAUGAGAACUAAACAAAGACAGAUUUGUUGUUUAAUAUGCAGUAAAUAUAUUGAAGUUACUGUUUAUAGCAGUGAUCUUUGUACAAGCACUUGAUUUUGACACUUGAACAACAUAGAUGGCCUACUACAUUUUAGAAUACUAUAGUGUAAUAUAACGAUGCACAUGCAAGGGAGAGAAUUAACAGCAACAGAUUGAAAGGAGGUUGCCCCUGCACAUCCAUGUUCUGUGUUCGCAAUUGUAAUGGCAGCUAUCUUACUUCAUGAGUCAUUGAUCUAUAAGUGUUCUUUUUAGUGUAAAAAGAGACCUCUAACCAGCCAACAUCCUUGGCCAAAGUACAAAAACUGAAUCAGCAUGCUGGUUGUGGCAUAUUUUAUGACUAAGGUCACCUCUAUAUUCUAUAACAGUUAAGUCAAUAUCCUAGGGCAAGUACUAACAAAGAGUUCAAUGAUUGAGUAGGACGAAUAACCAAAAUAAAGCAAUAUAAUAAUUUCAUAUCGAUGUGUUCAAAACCAAAAUCAUAGAAAAUAAUGAUUUCACCAAAUUGUGAAGACCCAGGAAAUCAACCAAAGCUUAUUACAAAGGUACAAGGCUCUUUUGUUUUAUUUGCAGAAAUAUUCACAUCUCAGAGAUCAAUGCAAUAAAUUUGAAACUAGUACUAGUACCAUUAGUCAUAAAAACAUGCAAAAUUGGAUCCAAGAUUCUUAAAACUACUUCCCCAUGUCAUUAUUCUAUUGCAACAAGGAAGACUUGCAUGCUUUCAGCAUUGACCAACUUGCGUGCAACUAGAUUAAAUUGUCUCCUCCAAGUACAGGGAACAACAAGAUCUUAUACAAGUCUAGAUAACUUUCUUUGUUCCUUGUUUAUAAUUUUCCUUCAAAUAAAACAAAAAACAACGUUGCAUCUCACCACUUCCAAACAAUUUAAACAAAUGUCAAAAGAGUAGUACUGCACAACGUUCAUUUCCAACUUUCAAGUUUGUCUUCUAUUUGUCAAAACCCAAAACUAGCUGCAAAAUCAUUUAGAUAGAAAUAAGAAGCAUGCAUGAGUUGAUUCAAAUGUUGUUUAUCUUCUCAUAAGAGUCUAAUAUAGAAUUACAACCAGAUAAAGGUUUAACAGACCAGAGAGUCUUGCAUGAUAAAUACUGUAAAAAAACAUAAUUGACAGAGAAAAAGAGGAAGUACUUUGUCAUUCAAUGCCAAAAAUAUUAACAACAAAGAAAAAGGGGUAUGUCAUUCAAUCUUGAGAGGAAGACUUAGAUGAAGUUGUCAUGAGAUACAACAUUCAAAGAAGGACAAACCUGAAGGUAACUGAGGAUAUCCAUUGUUGUAACUCUUGAUCCUCCCUCUUGUUGUCUCCAAAUCCACUGAUAGAUUUUUUCCUGAAAACAAGUUCAAAUAAUUCUAUUAGAGAACUUCCAAAUCCACUAAUAAUUUUUUUUCCUGAAAAUAUGAAAUAACCAUAUUAGCGGAACUUCUAACUCGCAAUUAGAAGCCCUUUACAGAUGACUAAUUGAGCAAGUUGACAAAAUAAAACGAAUAAUUUAACAGCUGAAAAUUUAUAACUCAGUAGAUUUACGCUCAAUGUUGUGUGAACAAAGCAUAGACCGUUGCUCUUAACAAGGGAAGAGUAGAAUUUAUAAGAAAUACUAUGUCGUCAUUGGAAGAUAAACUUCAAAAUUGAAUUAUGAUUCUAAAGCAUGUCUGAGCGCAUGAGUGUGUUGACUUUACCAGAGAUUUAAAAGACAUCCAAAGUCCUUGUUAGAAGAUAAACUUCCAAAUUGAAUUAUGAUUCUAAAGUACGUCUGAGCACAUAUGAGUGAGCUGACAUUACCAAAGAUUUAUAAGCUACUGUCAAGCUGCCGGUACACCCCCUAAAUUUCAAUCACAUUUAUUAACACUAAAAAUUUAAAAUCAAAACCCCUGGAACAGGUUCUAAUUAGUUGGUUACAUGACCUGGUGACUAACAAGGUUCAAGCUCUAAAAAGAAUAUACUUGAGGACAAAAUAUCAUGGUUUCAUUAGCUUCACUUUUAUGAGGCAGCAGAGACUAAGCUUAUCCUUAAACAAGGAAGAAAACCUAAUCUGAUUCAUAGACUCCAGCAUUUUCCCAGCUGAAUCGUUGCAAUUAGCGAGUACUGAGCUGAAAGAGGAGAAGGGAAAUUCUUUUGUUAAUUUGAAACCCCUUGUUAAAUGUAUCAAUUCCCACCAAAGAUGAGCUCAACUCAAAUUUACCAUGACUUAUAAGCAUCCUCAAGCGAUCAGUUCCACUCUUUGCUAAAUGCACAACAUAUCGGCAACUGCAUUUGUUCUUUAAACAAAAAUAUAUUAUUAUCAUUUAGGUUUUUCAGGCAAAACAAAAUGCACACCAUGUAAAGCACAAAGAGACACAAAUGCAAUAUAUCCAAAAACGCAAGCAAACAAUGAGCUAAUAAAUUUAUUCCAAACCAGUAAACCCCUAAGCAUAUUCGCAUUAAAAAUAUAAAAUUUAACAAUAAAAUCAGGCUUGAUUGAUCAAAAUAAUAAACUUUGAGCCGCUCAAAGAUAGACACGCGAUAAAACGCAAAACCCAGAUAUAAAAGUACAUAAAGCUAAGAUUGCAUGCAAAUAAAUAACCCAAAAAUGAAGGAAUAUGUGUAUAUAUGUAUAUGUAUAUGUAUAUGUAUAUGUAUAUGUAUAUGUAUAUGUAUCUGGAGAUGAAGAGAGGGAAUUAUACAAGGCCAUGGCGUUUGCCAGCUUGGAAGGAGAGUUUUUGCUGAUUCAUGGUCUGAGUAUAAAGGUGAGACAAGGAGUUAGCGGCGCUGCAAAAGGAGGCGUACAUAGUCCGAUCAACCUCAUCGAGGCUCGUCGCUAUCGACUUCCUUUUCUUCCCCAUUUAUCCCGAUUCCCUCUCUCCUGCGAUCGACGGGGGUUCGCGGUUGCUUUUUGGCGAUCGAUGAAAAGAGAAUUUUUCACCUUUCCAUUUUGUUUAAACUUUUUUUCUUUCUUUUUUUUUUUUUUUGUACUUUGUGGUUUGUGGUAGAAGAUUUGAGAGAAAGCUCGCUUCGUUUUUAUACAUGUUUUUAAUGAGAUGAUGGUUGAAGCAGGAGGCUUGAGAGACACUUCACGGCAAUGCAUGCGAUCGGGCUGGGCCACUCAUACAAAGCCCGUUUAGGCCGCCUCAUACAUUAGCUUAGCUAUACCGCACGAGUGAGAUACGUAAGCAAUGGUUCUAGGAAAUUUAGGUCCAUUAAAGUGAGAUUUAUUAUUAUAAUGGUAAGAUUAAAAUUAUUGGUGGGAUAUGUGUUUAGAUUUAACUAUAACAGUAUUUUUAAAGUGAAAUAUGAUAAGAAUAGAAAAUAAUUUUUAUUUGAAAAUAUAAUAAAUAAUUAAAAUGUUUAAAAUACUAAGUAAUGUAUUAUAUAUUUAUUUUAAAAGUAAUAUAUAAUUAUUUAAAUUUAUUUAUUAUAUAUAUAAAAUAUUGAAAAUAUUUAACUUGAAAUAAUUGAAAACUAAAAUAAUAAAUAAUUUAAAAACUUUUAAUAUAAUUGAGUCUUAGCUUGAUUGGUAUAAGUAUUGUUGUUAAUAUAAGAGAACGUGAAUUUGAGUGUGUUGAAACGCAUUAUCUUUCUGGAGGGACUAUGAGACUUUUUUUUUUUUUGAAAGUUCAGAAACUCACUCCCUCCUUAUAUGUUUUUUCUAAUAUAUUGAGUGGCUCACUCAAUUGAUCUGAAAGAAGAUUGAUGAAGGCAUUAGAAACCAAUAAAAAUGAGCAAAGACGUUGUUGGUGAUUUCUCUCUUAGCUCAGGGCAUAAGAUCAAUAAUUAAAAUACUCGUAUUUUCUUCUCAAAGAACAUGCAAACUAACAUAAAGACUUCUAUUAGUAGUGCCCUUAGUUUAGUUAGUGUUAUAGACUUAGGAGAUAUCUUGGUGUUCCUCUUCUCCAUAAAAAAGUAACUAAUGCAACCUAUCGAUAGAUUCUUCAACAGAUGCAACAAAAACUUACAAGGUGAAAAGCUCACACUCUCUCUUUUACUGGUAGAGUUACUUUAGCUAAAGCGAUUCUAAAUUCAAUCCCCAUUUAUGCAAUGCAUAUUGCAGUCAUUCUUAAAAGCAGUUGCUUCGAGAUGGAGAAAUUAUUCAUAACUUUGUUUGGGGACAAUUCAUAAAAUAAACUGAGAUUCAUCUUGUCAAAUGGGGAGAUGUUUGUAGGGUGAUUGAUUGCAGUGAACUAGGCAUUCGAAAGAUGGAAUUUAUUAAUGACUCAUUUCUUAUGAAGGUUGCAUUCUUACUUGUAUCUAAGAGGGAUGUUCUUUGGGUGAGAGUGUUAUAGUCCAAAUAUAAGUCUUGAGUGUUGAGAGGUUAUGCCUUUGAUUCUUUGGAGUUCUAACAGGUUGCAACUUUGGAAGGAUGUUUGUGGUGUGUGGGAGGAUGUUAGAAGAGGUAUUAUAUGGAACUUUGGUAUUUGCAACAAUAUUGAUUUCUAGAGGGAUAGAUGACUUUAUGAUUUUGAACCUCUUAUUGAUUAUUAUUUAAUAAGAAUUUGGUAUCGGAUUCACAUGUACCAAUCAAUUAGAUGUUAAUACUGUUAGGGAAUUGGAUCGGAAUCAAUUCGAUAGUUUGCUUUCGUUUACUUGUCUUGCAAAAGUCAUAGCAACUCUGCCACCUUGAUGUAAUGACAUCAAUAACUUCCCAAGCUACAAACGAGAGAAGAAGCAUUUUAUAGUUAACUUAAGGGUGUAAAAAGCCCUCAAACUUUUUCAAAAAAAGCAAUUAAGUUCCUACCUUUUUUUGCACACAAUUAGGUACUUGAACUUUCAAGAUGCAUAAAAAAUGCCGUCAAACUUUUUCAAAAAUAGUAAUUAAGCCCCUUUUUAUUUUGCACUCAAUUGCGUACUUGAACUUUCAAAAUGCAUCAAAAAGGCCCUCAAACUUUUUCAAAAAAAAGCAAUUAAGCUCUUUUUUUUGGCACUCAAUUGGGUAUUUGAACGGUCAAAUGCAUCAAAAAUGCCCUUUGACCAUUAACGUUAACAAUUAACCGUUAAAUUUAACUACUCCUAAUUUUUUCAAUUAAAGCCACCCGUGUCACAACCACGGUGUGACAUGUGGCAAAAAAAUUAUAAAAAAUAAAAAUUAAUAAAAGUUAUAAAAAAUUAAAUUUUAAUAGAAAAUAUAUAAAUUUUAUUAAAAAUUAGAAAAUAAAAUUAUUAAAAUCAUAAAAAAAUUAUAAAAAAAUGUAAAAUUUUAUAAAAAUCAUUAAAAAAUUAUAAAAUGCAUAAAAAGGACCUUUAACCAUUAAUUUUAACCGUUGACCGUUAAAGUUAACGACCCCCAAAAUUUUUUAGUUAAAGCCGUAAUGUGUCGCAACACAGCGUGGCAUGCGACGAAAAAUGACAAAAAAUAAAAAUCAAUAAAAGUUAGAAAAAUUAUAAAAUGCUUCUUUUAGUACAAUAAUUUUUAUAAUUUCUUUUCUAUGAUUUUUAUAUCUCUUUACUUUUUUAUAUUUUUUUACGACUUUAUAAAAUUUAUAAUUUUUUUAUAUUUCUAUAUAUUUAUAAUUUUUUUUAUGAUUUUAUAAUUUUUAAUAUUUUUAUAGUUUUUUAUUAAAAUUCAAUCAUUUUUAUAACUUUUAUUUAUUUUUAUUUUUAUAUUUAUCAUUUUUUUGCCACAUGUCAUGCUGUGGUUAGACCUGUCCAUGGGCCGGGCGACCCGGCCCGGCCCGACGGCUUGCCCGAAAUAUGGGAGGAUUCGGGUAAAAAUAUAGGCCCGAAAUAUGGGCUUGGACAAAAAAUAAGGCCCGUUUAAAAAAUAGACCGGGCUCGAGCUCAACUUUUUUGGCCCGGGCCCGGCCUGAAUAUAAUAAAUAUAUAUUUUUUAUUUUUAAUUUUAAAAUACUUUAAAAAUAUUUUUUAUUUUUUAUUUUUAAAAUAUUUUUUGUGUUUAUUAAAAACCUGGUCGGGCCGGGCCGGGCUAAUUAUUUUUUUCCCAGGCCGGGCCUGGGCAAAAUUUCAGGCCCAUAUUUCGGGUAGGCCCGGGCCCAGGCCUAAGAGUCGGGCCGAAAUUUUUUUCCGGGCCCGGUCCAGCCCGGCCCAUGGACAGGUCUAGCUAUGGUUGUGACACAUGGUGGUUUGAACUGGAAAAAAUUAGGGGUGGUUCAAGUAUCCAAUUGAUUGCAAAAAAAAAAAAACAGGGGCUUAAUUGUUCUUUUUAAAAAAGUUUGAGGGGUUUUUUUAUACAUUUUGAAAGUUGAAGUACCCAAAUAAAUGCAAAAAAAGUGUGAGCUAUACAACCCAAUUUAUGCCCGGGGCCCAACAAGCAGAGACAAAAAAAAACCCAAACUAUUAUCUAGCCCAACACCAAAUAAAAAAAGAAGAAAAAACCCUAGCCCUAGGCCUUCUGCCGCCAGUCUUCUGGUCACCUGCCCUCUGUGCGCCGCUGCCACCACCCACCGCCACCAACUCGGUCGAUCACCUGCAAAAUGGAACAAACACGCAAAGAGCAGCAAAAAAAUAGAGAAAAAAUAGAAAUAGAUAGGUUAUAAAAGCAAAAACACUACAUUUGUAUUUUUUUCAACAAAAAACGGUUAAUGAAAGCAGAUAAAAAAAACUAAAAAGGUUCAUUCCAAAGUUCUACUUUUUUUUUCUGUUCUUGCUCUUUUAUUUCUAUUUUCUGUUGUUUGUUUUUUGCUUUUUAACUAAAACAAGACGAAAAAGAGAAGAAAAGGGACGCUUACCGGUCUUGAAAGCCCGUCUCCGGAGACUACCUUCGGCGUUGGAAUCGGACUGAAGGGGUUAGGAAAAACCCCUCCUUUUUCGAAUUUUCAGGACUGAAAGGGUAGACCUUUAGGAGGUCGAGAACGGGGUUAAAAACUCACCUUUUCUUGCUGAGACCACCUCUCGCGACGGAGCCCCGACGUUGGUGGCCGACGGUGGUGCCGAACAGGGAAGAUGGGGAGGAGAACCGAGAGUUCUCUGUUUCUUUUCUAAAAUGGGAUGAGAAUAUGUUUUCUUUUUUUUUUGCCAUUUAUAUAGGCCACCAUACGGCGCCGUUUUGGACUGGAGUGUUAUGACCAAAACGACGCCGUUUCACCUAAUAACCGAAAACCCGACCCGAUGGACCCCAAAGAUCCGCGUGUUUUGGACGAAGAGUCUAUUUACCCUUUCAGUCCUUUUGCUUCUGGGCUUCCCUCCAAUCUGGUCCCUGUUUUAGUUUUUCUCUUUUUAACUUUUCUCCUCUGGGAUUUUGCUUUGUUUUCAUUUUAGUCCCAUUUUUUAUUGUCUUUUUAUUUUUAUUUUUUUUAAAAAAAUUAAUUAGUUUUAUUAUCAUUAUUAUUACUUUUAUUUUUAUUAUUUGCCUUAUUAUUAUUUACCCAUUUGUACUGUUUUUAGAUUAUGUUAUAUAUAUACAUACUUACAUUUUAUACAUUUUAUAUUUUAUAUAUGUAUAUAUACAUUCAUAUUUUUAUAAUAUGUGUACUCAUAUAAUUUUCCAAGUUUACUUACAUAUGUAUAUCUACUUAGAUAUAUAUUAUUUAAUAUACGAAUACACAUAUUUUAUUUUUAUGAAUAUAUAUACACAUUUAUCUUUUAUUAUUUUAUGUAUAUAGUUGCACAUCUAUAUAUAUAUUUUAAUUUUCAUAAAUACAUACUUAUAUACAUUAUAUCUUAUACCUUAUAUUAUUUAUAUAUCUUUAUAUACGCAUUUUUAAUUUCCAUAUCUAUAUACUUUAUAUCUUAUUUAUUUAUAUAUCCUUGUAUACAUAUAUUUUUAUAUAUUUUAUAAUGCAUACAUGCACAUAAUAUAUAUAUGUACGUUUUUAUUUUUAUAAAAACAUAUACAUAUACCUACCUUUAUAUUUUAUAUAUUUCAUAACUUUAUACAUAUACAUAAAUGUACACAUACAUAUUUACAUAUAUUUUUACGUACAUAGAUUUUUCACAUUUUCAUAAUUUUAUGCACACACAUGUAUCUUUUUACUCUUUUUUUAUAAUCUUAUUCAUUUAUUUAUUUAUUUCAUUUUCAUUAUUAAUUUGAAUGAAUGCUUUAAUUUUAUUUGCUUGUAUACAUUGCUAUUUCGUAUGUUAUUGAUUUGUACUUUGUAUUUAUCUUAUCUUGGUUGCAAUUGCUCGUUUUAUUUUUUCACUAUUGUAUUCAAUAUCGCCUUGUUACGAGCAUUAACAUGGUGUUUUAUUGUUUCAUGUUAGAUUAAUUUAUUUCAAUGCAUAAAUUACGAUUUUUAAAUAAGCAAAAUCUCGUAUUUAGAUUUGAGAAGGUCGUACCCUAACUUACUAGGUCUCGAUUUUUACAAUAAAUAAAUACACGAAUCUUUUUAAACUCAAGUUUUAAAUGAUCUCGGGAUUUGAAAAAAGAAUCGCGUCCUAACUUACUGGUUGUGAUAUCGCUUUUAAAUCUGAGAUAGCUAAAAUACUUUUUAAAGCAUUUUUUUGCGUAUUGGGAAUUCGAGAUAUUGUGUCCUAACUUACUGGAUACGAUUCUCUUUCUCGAUUAACGUAAAAUAUGCUUCUUUUCCCAAAAAAAUUUAAUGUUCAAUACAAAGAUCGUAUCUUUAAAAUUUUUCCAAGUUUUCAAUUCUCGACAUCAAGACAUUAACUAAUUAACUAGGUACCAAUUUUUGGGCGUUACGAGGGUGCUAAUCCUUCCUCGUACGUAACCGACUCUCGAACUCAUUUUCUUGAAUUUCGCAGACCAAACUCAUUGUUUUAAUAGAAUUAAAUUGUUUAUUAAAAACAAUCUCUUUUCAAGGUGAUCCAAUCACACCUUAUAAAAAAAGAUUGGUGGCGACUCCUAUUUUCUUUUUUAAAAUCCAAGUUGACCCCAUUUUUUUUAUCCAAAACUGGUGUUAACAGCUUGGUGACUCCACUGAGGAACAAACACGAGAGUCAAGCCACGAGUUGAUUACUUUUUUUCUUUUUGUCAAAAAUCAAAAACUUAGUUUAAAUAUACGAUCCUUUCGUUGAAUUUUUAUUCAUCUUUAUUAUGAUCUUCAUCAUUGUUAUUCAUAAUCACUGUGUUUAAGUUCGGAUUUAUUUCUGCACUUUGUAUUGCAUGAUCGUUGGUCACACCCUCUUAAGUCGGAGUGAGAAGCUACGCCUUCGUGAGGUUUUCACCUCCGCAUGGGAUAGUGAAUCGCUUCCGGAAUACAUCCGUACCUAUGUCUUCGUGAGAUUUUCAUCUCCGCAUGGCCAUAGGGAAAUGUAUUCCCCUGAACUGAACUCGGUCAAUAUGAGCCUAUAAUGGGUGAGGAUCGAGGAAUCUGCUGGUUCGAGUACCUUUACUUUAAAACCAAACCACAUAUAGUGAGCCAUAGGAACCCACCUAGAUGGAACUACGCCAAACCUUAGUGCUUACCCAAAUGGAUGCUUUAUUUAUUGUCAUUUACUCUAGAUCUUGUUCUGUGUUUAAUACUGAUUUGUUUGUUUGUGAUUGCAUGGCAUUUUCAUUUUAAAAGAGGUGUCGAUUCACGUUCAGUAUCAAGAUAGAAAGCUUAUCAUGGAAAAUGGGUUUUUUGAUAAAGUAGAAGAUAAUGCGGCUGUACGAAUAUGGGCUGAGACGACACAACGGGAGAAAGGCGAUAGUCUUACCGAGGGGCACGUGUCAGAAUUGUGGGAUUUCACUUGUAUCAGUGUAAUCCAGAAUGACCUUCGAGAAAUGAAAGAAGUCUGGGAUCAAUGGGAUGAUGAGACCAAGCAGCUGUUCUAUUGUAACUACGGUGACCUGCCUUAUCUGCUCAGUAUCAAAGUGGACAAGUAUUUAUUUCGAGCCAUUGGUCAAUUUUGGAAUCCUGCCUACAGUUGUUUCACUUU